CAAUGUUGUUGACUGGACGUCAUGUUUGCAGUGUUUUUCUUGCGGGUGUUUUCUUGUUAUUGCUUAGUUGUAGAUUCAGCCAUGGUGUUGAGAGUGAUAUAAACUGCCUGAAAAGUAUAAGAGCAGCAUUGGAGGACCCUCUAGACAUGUUAAGCUCUUCAUGGGAUCUCUUUUAACAAUGCCACUGAAGGUGUCAUCUGUAACUUUCUGGGAGUGGAGUGUUGGCACCCUCAUGAGAGCAAAGUUUCAGAACAAGAAUUAUAUAUUGCAGCUAAUCUUAUGGCAGUUUUGGGAGGUUAGGAAGCACAGGUGUGAGAGAGUAAUGAAUCAUGCUAAACCGAAUCCUGCCUAUGCUAUAGAGAAGAUCAAUCGGAACUUAAAUGAGUGGUCUCGACUCAAGAGUGUGUCAGGAACCCCGUUGCCACCCCUUCUGACUCGGAUUGCAGGAACUGGCACCCUCCUCCCUUUUGGUCUCAAAGGUUAAUGUGGAUGGUGCCUGUGACUCUAAGAGAAAGCGGAGUGGCAUUGGUGUGGUCAUCCGUAACCAUCAGGGUUCUUGUGUUGCUGAAGCUAGCAUUUGUGGGAUUCGUAACUCAGCUAUUGAGUUUGAAGCUGAUAUCCCCUGGAGUCUCUCUUUUGUGCUGUACUGUUGUUUUUUGUUCUUUCUGGUGUUUUUCUUCCCUUGUAUGUGUUUUUUUUUUCCUCUUAAUGAAAUAUUAUUUCAGACCGAAAGAACAAAACCAUAUUGUUAUAGCUCCCAUCAUCAUUUGAUAUAUAUAUAUAUAUAUAUAGUCUGGAUGUGAAGCGGACGUCCGCACUCGGCUUAAAGUGCGCACGUCCGUCCGUUCUCCACCCUCCGGCGCCGGCGACGGCGCGCCUCCACCCCAGAACACUCCAGCAGCGUCUCCGACCACUUUCCCUCCCCGGCAAGUCCGUUCUUUUCCAGUUUUCCGGCGAGAUCACCCAAAACUUCAAACAAGAUCAAUCUCGCUGAAAACUAAAAAGAACGGACUCGCCGGGGAGGGAAGGUGGUCGGGGAGUGUUAUGGGGUGGAUGCGCGCCGUCGUCGGCGCCGGAGGGUGGAGAACGGACAGACGUCCGCACUUUAAGCCGAGUGCGGACGUCCGCUUCNNNNNNNNNNNNNNNNNNNNNNNNNNNNNNNNNNNNNNNNNNNUACUAUAUAUAUAUAUAUAUAUAUAUAUAUUUGGUUUUCUAUGGAUUCUCCAAAAACAUAGACUAAUCUUAUAUAAGGAGUUCAAGACAUCUCUUCACUACCAGCUAGUCUUAAUUCAUAUAAUCUGGCAAACGAAAAAGCACAACAAACUAGUUCAUUGACAACAUGGUACGUAAACAAAAUUGCAGCACAAAAUUCCCUUUCUAAGAAACAAAGUGAUACACCUGGAUUGCAUUAGCCAGGCGAGUCCAAGCUAAAUGAACAAUGCUGAUAAGUGAAAAAUUGAAAAUAGACAUAACUAGCUCAAAAUCUGACGUAUUAUAGGAUCAAUCAGUAUUGGGGAAUUAAGAAUUCACACAUAUCCACCUAAGAAUGCAGAAACAAACACAAGAAGAAAGAUCAUAUACAUGAUGACAUGCACAACCAAAUACAUCAUGAAGAGAAGGAAACAGAAGAGCCCCUUUGGAAAUUAAUCUCAUAAUGAAAGAUUCUUUUCCCUGAUACAUGGCGAUCACGAUGAGUAUUGCACUCCAUAACCUUAUUCAUUUCUUUGUCCGCAGCUUACUUGCUGCUCAAGGUAUUUACUCCAUAAUUUCUUCCUCAUCUUCAUCAGAGAAACGACUCGAUGUUUUUUCUUUUCUUCUAAAAACUACUACUACUACCCCUUUCAGGCUUGUUGCUUGGAAGGAUGAUGAUCAAUAGCUUAUGAGUAGAAUUUGUAGGUCUUGGCUUGAACUAUGAUUGAUCUCAGCCCUCCAAUUGGUGACAGAACCAUCAAAAGAACACCAAAGAAUAUGCAGAUCUGAAAUUAUCAAGUCAAAAUAAGAUCAACUCAAAUAUCUGCAAUCAAAAGGAAGUAAAAUGCAUGUUUAAGAAUCAUAAAAGUAUAUAAAGAUUAACCAAACUGAACAUACAUAGUUGCAGCACCAGGAUAAGCUGAACCUCCUUGGUUUGUAGAUGGCAAGCCACAUUACACAAGGGAGCUGAAAAUAAUAACAUGUUCAUUAGACAUGUGAAAACGAAAAUCAGAACAUCAAUUCAUUAGAAUGUAAUGGAACAGAUUGUGAGCUUACAAAAUAUGUUGUUGGGGCAAAAGCAAAUCCUCCGAAAAAUCCAAGGAGACCACUAAAGAAUGGGAAUGUUAUUCCAACAAACAUGGUAAUUGCUGCAAGGAAAUGUCAAUUUUAAUCCAUCAGUUUAUAUCCAGCUUGAUCUCGAAGCAAUAGCAUAAACUUGAUGAGAUUAAGGUCAGCAGUAACUUACCAACAUAUGAAGUUCGUGUAACAAAACGAAGCAUAAAAGUUGGCCUGAAAUCCAACUUCUUUACCAGUAGAGUCUCCAUCAUGUCAAACACUGGCAUUGCAUAAAUCUGCAGCAGAGAUCAUAGAGUCAGACUAAAUGUUUGAGAACAGAAAAUGAAAUUUAGAAAUCUAGGCAAUAUGAUCCUCGAUCGGUCCAUCACCUGAUAGCUUCCAAUAACAUGGAUGACAACAAACAUGUUGGCCGUUGCAAUAAGCCAUUUGGGUUUUUCCAAUGAGACGAGGAUGUUGUCCUCAACUGAAUUUCCAUAAAUGUAAUAUCCCACCAGAGCAACUGGGAAGUAGCACAAAGCCACAAUUAUGUAGGCAACAAUGACUCCUUUCCACAUGGGUACCUUGGAAGGCUUCUCAGGUGUAGAAGGAAUUGUUGCUUGGAUUUCAAGGACUACAUUAUGGCCAGCAUACGCAAAAGCCACUUCACCCAAUGCAGCUAAGAAGUUGAAGAAAUUUCCAGUAGUAGUCUUGGCUUUGUAACUAUAAUCGACAUUUUCUACCGUACCCUUGUCUAGUGCAGCAGUCCAUGCUAUGGUAGAGUAACUGCACAAACAUGCAUCACAAUCCAAGACGUUAAUGAAUCAAUCACAUACACAAUAACAUAACUUGGAAAUAGAAAGCUAAUGGAGUUGAAGACUAGCACAAAUGUCUCACCUCAAGGACAUGACAGCUGCGGCCAAAGACACGCCGGAGAUGGAGUUGAAGUUGGGAAGGUGGGAAAGCACAAAGUGCACAGACGCAAAGAUCAUGAUGAAGUAAGUCAAUUUGAUAUUUUUGCAGUCUGAGCACACAGUGUCAUGGACCUUUUGCAGCGAUUUUCCUCCGGUGACCAUGUACACAAUGCAAACACCAACUUCAACAAUGAGUUGCUGAGGCACCACUAUGUAAAGACCAAGCUUUUCACCAAAUGCAUGUUGACCCAACUCGUGGUAACGAUCAAAACGUUUCCCUGGAACCAUCUCAUGCAUCUCAACCAUUUGCCAUAGUGUGUACAAUGUGAUGAUCCAUGAAAGGAUCAAAAUAGUUAUACCAGGACCCCUGAAUUACAUAAUGAGAUGAAUCCAGUUACAUUAGUUACUAUAAGCUAGUGUUAAAUUUGCUGCUUAACUGGAAUAUAGAAUAGUUGACAUACCAUCCAAGCUCUGCCAUGGCAUAAGGGAGACCGAGAACACCAGCUCCAACCAUGGCCGUGACAUUGUGAAAAGCCGAAUACCACCAUUUUGCAUUCCUUGAUGAAGUAAUCGGAAGCCAAUCGUUAAUUGCCUUUUCCUUGGCUAACUUCUCGUCGAGCUAUCAUGAAAAAUUGAACGCAGUUUAGUACAUAAACUCAGUUGUGUUGAAUAUGCUUUCAUGAACAAUAUAUGCACACCAAAUCGAUCACUUCAAAAUUUACAAAUCAAACGCCAGUAGCUAUAGCAUAGGAGACUUGGAGGGAGGGUAGAAGUGAUAAUUUAGGGACUUUGGAGGGUCUUUUGGGAAUUCUAGCUGAGUUCAGUGAAUCUUGGGAUAUUGGUAUCCCCAAAUUUGGGGAAUGGAAUCAAACGUCAGUUGUCUAUUUGUAAUGUCUUAUUAGCUUUCUGGGCCCAUAUUUCAUAAUGGCCCAGUACUUGUGGAGCCCAUCAACGUGUUCAUACUAAAUAUUUUUUUGUUCUUCUGUGAUAUUUUUUUGAACGUUGAUUUUUUUUUUUCAAUUUUGGCCUAAUUUUAGAUUAUUAUUAGAAGUACGUGCCAUACAUAAUUUCAAACCUAAUCUUCUUAAAAUUAUAGUGACAACUAGCUAGAUAGUGUUAAAAGAAAUCUAAUGCUGCCAACGAAGCCACGUAUUGGUGUAGGAAAUACUAAAAUGCAAGUAGGAAUAGUCAAUGUGUGCUCUACAUUGGACUUGAAGGAUCUUAGUUUGAAAAUAAUAUCUUUCAGGAUUUCGUUUAUGUACUCAAAGAUGAAACAAAAAUGACAAGAAAUGAUGUCUAGAGUGUAAAUUAUAGAAAGUUUGUCUUAUAAGAAACAAAUGAGAUUUACUGGUUUUAGGAUUGCAGUAUGGUAAGCUAAUCAACAUCUAACAUGUUAAGGUUAUGGAUUCAAACCUCACCGACGUAUGUAGGGUGCGUGAGUUUAUAAUAAAAAUAAAUAAAAAAUAAAAAAUUGCAACAUGGUAAAAAUGCUAUCAUGUAUAAGAUCAACGUACGUUUUAAGUUAAUUAUAGAGAACUGUCUCUUUCUAUGAAAUGUGAAGAUGAGAAACAAAAUGAAGUAUAUAUCAGUCAAUUCCAUCGAGAUGGGAAGAGUUGGCUUGAAAAAUCAAGGUGAGAACAAAGGUGCCGUAAGCCAUAGGAUAGUUAGAACAACCAAACCGGAAGACACUCAUGAGCUCCAGAACUCGAUCAGAUUCCGAGCAUACGUCAAGACUUAAAAAUUAAGCUAAUACAAAAUGGGCAAUGAAAAAUUCUCAUAUCAUUCUUUUUGAAAUAUAACAUAUGCAAACCUAUAGCUCAUGAUCAGAUGAUCACCCCAAUGUAAACAAGAUCAUCACAGCAUCAUUUUCUGAAAGUUUCAGAUAGGGGGAUGGAGAAAAGGACACUAACCUCUGUCUGGUUGUAAGUAUUAUCGACAUCGUUCGGAGCUUGAGUUCCCAUGGCGACACACUCAGGAUUUGAAGAGAGAGGAGUAGAUGGAUAUAUGCAGCAGUAGCUGAUGAUAAGUGAAGACCGAUAUAUGGAGCUCUCUGGCUACUCUCUCUCUCUCACUCCAGCACAGAAAAUGAGGAGGGUGCUCUACGCUAUAUAAAUAGACCAGCUCUCUUAAAACUAAGAGAUUUUAAGUCUUCAAACUCAUCAGCUUCGUCCUUUUGUCGUGUGAAAGAGGAGAGUUGGAGUCAUUCGAAUUCCUGCUGAACGCUUUUUUUGUUUGACUUUCCAAAAUAACAAAGGAAAACACCUUUUUUUUUUCUUCCUUUCAAAGGCUGAAGUUUCCAGGCAACGACGUCGUUGUGGCCUGGCGUCUAGCUAGCUAAUUUAUGUUACAAGUUUCCGGUUUUGAAUAUAUGCUAUGUAUUCAAGUAUAUUAGUCUACGACUAUAUAUUAAUAAAAUACGUGUUACAUACCCAUAGAUAUAACGGACAUAUGGAGAGCGAGAGGCCUAUCCAGAUCCUUGUUUAGAUUCAAACUACAUCCCAUGUAUGUAGUUUUGAUGGCAAUGAUUCCUCACGAGCGAGAGGCUAGCUAGGUCAUAUCACUCAUAUGUUAAUGUAAGUUUUCACAAUUAAUAUGAGUAUAUGACGCGUUUUGGAGAAAGUUAGUUACCACUUAUAUUUCAAAUACUUAAACCCAGUGAUCUAUUACGUAAUUACCUAGUUUUCUUAUAUAAGAAGUAGAAAAAAUCAUAUAUGUAUAGCACUUGCAAUACGAGUGAAUUAGAAACCUUACUACCUAAUUAACCCUAGCUAGAAGCCUAAAACACCGUAUAGUACUAUCUUGUAAGAGAAGGUAGUAUGGCUAGCUGCUAGUAGCGCCAUGGCUUUCUAGCAGAAUAAUUGAUGAAAUGUGCAGUGUACAUAGAGAUUCCAUAUUGCUAAUAAUAUGAUCGUAGAUCUAGGACCAAUUUAUCUUAGCAAAGAGGUAAGUGUAUAUAUGCCGGUCCAUAGAUAUGUACACAAUCUUCUCUCUAGCUAGCUAGCUGGUAGCUCAUGUACCACACUUACCCCCCUCUCAAAAUAGCUACACGACUCCAUCAAUUAAGAAAAUUUGGAGCCUAAUAGCUUCACACACGUUGCAACUUGUAUGAACCAUAAUGUGUCCCUGUCGUUAAUUUGCUUAGGCAUCAUUUGAUUCUUCAACCCGGCCGAAGAUCUUCUUUUUUUUGUUUUUGAGAUUUUCAUUGUAUAGUAGACACUCUUGGAUACGUACCUACGUCGAUAUAUACAAUUUUUUUCCCCAAUCAUACGUAUAUUAUACGUACAUAGCUAGCUAGACUGACAAGGGAUGAUGGCCAGCACAGCCACAACUGGUUAUGGCCUAAUCAAUAGACUAAUCAAACAUUCAUUUCUUAAUAGGAUGAAAGACAGAUAUGUUGAAGUUGCUGCAAAGAUGAACAACAAAUUAAUUAAGCUCUAAACAAAUAUCUUUGACACAUUAUGGAUUCUAGCUAGUAAUAUGCGGAAUACAUUUCUGAUACGUGUAUAUUCUUAUCACUAAUUAAAGAAUCUAAUAGCUACAAACCAGUCAGUCCGUAUCUUAAUUUGGAAUCUCAUAAAUAUUAUAAUUAACCUAAUUCUUCUCCAUUCUAUAGUAUUUGGCUUGUGCUAUAGCAACAUAUGUACAGAAGGAAUGAAUGUCAACUAUAUAUGUGAGAAAAAUGGGUGCUAGAUUAUUAUAGAAAAUAAACAAAAAGAAAAAUAAAUAUAUAUCGAUGAAAUUGUUCUUGUAAUUUAGUGGAAACUGCUAGGCGUGGAAUACUGGAGUAGGGUGUGACCAGAUCGAAAACAAAAAGAAGAAGAAGACGUACGCACGACAAUGGUUGCCCAAUAAUUCGAUAAAUCACGAGGCCGGGAGGAACCAAUUGAAGUCAAUGCCGAAAAAGAUCGCAUGAACCAGGAAUCUACCAGAAUCAAAAUGAAAUAUGAAGAUUCAUCGGUAUCUAGCUAGAAUAUUGUGGAAAAAGUUGAAUCCUAGCUAAAAGGUGGUAGAACAAUUAAGUUGUACAUGAAUCAUGAUGAUGAAAUUAGCAGAUAUUUCUGUCGACUUCUCUCUGGCACACGACGUAUCAUAGAUUUUUUGAUGGCCCAGAAACACUAACAAGCUUCUAAAUCUUUACUUUUCAAUAUCUCAUCAGUUCGUGUUAGGUUUUUCACUGUGGCAUUAGCAGCAGUGUCGACGAUCUACUUUCUAUAAGAACAUGUGCUUGGAUGAGCAGCCAACAUUUUAUUGGAUGCUUUUUGAAUUGAUCAUUAUGUGCUUGAUUGAAUUGAGCUGGCUAGCAAUCCAAGUUUGAUUUCUGAAGCAAACACAAUGAGAACAUUGACCUGCAUUAUUCGAUCGAUCGGAGAAUCUGCAAAUACAUAUUUUAGUAUAGCUGUGCCGGAAAUGAUGUGAUCAAGAGUUGAAUUGUUGCAAAAGCAAUAUGAUUACGGCCGGAGAAGGAUUAGAUUAUUUUGUAACAGAUCGAGCAUUCGGCGGUCCACUUAAUAUGCUCAGCCAUAUAUAUUCUAUGAUUUAUGAGAAUUUGUCAAUGGGAUUGAAAUUUCCAAACGUUCCGUUUAAAGUUUUUAACUGAUCAAUCAAUCUUCUUAUUGAUAGAUUAGAUUGAUUGAUCAGUAUCGAUAAGAAUAUUGAUUAGUAUGCUGAAUCCAUUGAUUCGAUUCUAAAUUACGAGCUAGAUUGUGCAAAAUGUGAUUGAAACUUUGUAGCACCUUUCGUCACAAUUACCAAAAUUCCUAAUGGGGGGUCUUCGAUCAGCAUGUCUCAAUCUGGAGAACAAACCAUGAAAUAGCGGUGGAGCCAAAAAUGUGGAAAUUUCAGCAAAACUGCUACGCCACACAACAAGAAGACUUUGACCCCAGAAAACACUGUUAUGCGCAAUAAUUAAUAAUAGUCAACACUUUACGCCAAUGAUCGAAUACGAUAUGAUUCGAACGAUGCCUACAUUUCACUUAACAUCUUACAAAUCCCAGAAAGAAAACCAAGAAUGCAGUAGUCUUAGGGCAUGUUUACUAACCUGGAAUGAAAUUGAGAGUGGUGUAAUUGAUUCCGGAAUGGAUGAAUUCCGGCGUUUACUAACAUGUCAAGGUAUUAUAAUGAAUGUGGGUCCCACUUGCUUAUCAGGAAUCGAUUCCUGACGAAACCCCUUAUUCGAUAUCCAAAGAGGGAGGUGGGUAUCAGAAUCAAGGUAAUGGAAUCAAUUUUUUCUCCCUAAAAUAUCCUCACAUAAUUAUAAUAUUUCGAAAUUACCCAACCCUAUAAAUAUAUAUAUAUAUUUAUAUAUAUAUAUAUAUAUAUAUAUUAUAGAAGAGAAGACAACAAAUAUUGUUAGAUACAAAAAACAACGAUGAUAAAUAGAAAAGAAGAUGACACACUCCAAGGCCAGUUUCUCUCUUCCAUGGUGAUCGAUAAGCUUCUUUGUUUUUGUCUAUCGUCUCCUCUCUGUUUCGUUCGGUUAUAUUUCAUUCAUGAGUGUUCAUAUCUGUGUCGCAAAACUUUGAACACACGCACUUGAGUCAACCAAUAUAUAUGGUUUAAAUGGUCUGAUGAAUAUAUCAUCUAAGAAUAUUUACAUAUUUGAAAGAAGAACAAUAAAAUAAUUGCAAACAUCUAGCUUCCUUUCUUGUAGGGGUAUUUUAGUAAUCAAACUAGUUUUAAUUCCGAUUCUAUAUGGUAAGUAAACAACAUCAAUCGUAAUUUAGUUUCAUUCAUGUUUUAAUUCCUUAUGGUAAGUAAACAGUAGAAUAGAAUGAAAUAUUCCGAUACUGAUUCUUGUUGAUACCGAUUCUUGUUGAUACCGAUUCUUGUUGAUAAGUUCCAUUCCAAGUUAGUAAACGUGCCCUUAGUCGAUAACUACAUGUACGAGCACCAGCAUUUUUCUUUUUUAGCUUUCACUAAUUGACCUACUUACAAGUGCUGCAUCUUAGCUCAUAUGCUUGAAUUGGCUUGCGUGUUGCAUUCAGUGUUUUCUUCAACAUGGGUUUCUUUUCAGGGUUUGUGAACUAUUGAAUUUCUUCAAUAUAACUCUUCACGUAAUUUGAUAAGAAUUUUCUCAAAUUCGGGUUCAAAAAACCUGCCAAUAAGUGCCAAACUAGACGUUCGGAAGUAGGUUUCCAUCUAAUUUUAGAGUGUCUUUAUCCUUAAUUAAAGAUGAAGACUAAAGAAUAGAGUAAGCUAACAUGGUUUGUUGCCCUAAUCGUAAGCUUAUCUUGUCUUAAUUUAACCAUUCACAUGCAGAGAUGCGAAGUUUGUGGUAUGCUAGUUUAAACAAAUUUAGGGUUAAUUUGCUGCAUUUAGCUUAAUAAUGAAACACAGAGGUGGACAAACUCCUAUCAAGUGGCAUGACAUGGAUGGCCGGGACUAGCUAGUACAACUAGUAAUGUCAAAUUUUCCUUUCUUAAACUAGCCGAUUCGACCAUAUGUACGUAUCUUAUAUAUUCAAACUAGCAAGAAGAAGAAAGCUAGCCACACGUUUCCUCAUUGGCUAAUAUUUAGCCAAUUUGGUAUCCGAUGCCGAUAUAUAUAUCCAUGACGACCCCAAGUCCACCAUGAGAACCCCUAAGUCGUUCACACAAGCGAGCUGAAGUCGACAAUUGCAGGCAGAGAUAGCUACUGCAUUAGAAGUCGAAACGUAUAAAUGUACGUAACAAAGUUACAAAUCGAAACCGCUUGAGGUUUAGUUCAACUCUAUCCGGGAAAAGUUUGAGAAGUUGGAAUUGAUUUAUGUACACUCAUGAUGAACAUUAACGUCAAUCGGAGACUAAUAUUCAUAUAAUUGUAGCGGUCAAGAAAGGACAGAGAGACAAUGAAGUAUCAGGUACAAUAAGUUCAAGUGGAAUUUUCUGCAAGUAGAGAAAUAUGUGUGCCAAUGAAGUACGAAAUGGUCAAGAAAUUAGAAACUAAGACUGUCACAGCUGCGGAAGCUUGUGCUUGUACUCACCCUGGUGAUGUUAACAUGGAAGAAUUUCAUUUGGUGGCUAGCAUUGAUCUCUUAAUCAACUCGAUUAAGCUAAAAUAAACUUCAUAUAUAUGCUGUGGUGUUUUCAACUUCGAUUGUGUGUGCCAAGUGGUUCAAAUCUGUUCAUUCUGGUACGUACAAUUGAUUCUGCGAGUUAAGAGGAGUCAGCGUGACGAUUCUAGUGUGUAAUAAUCCAUAACGUAUGUGAAUGGAAUAAGAGACAAUGAAGUUAAGGUUCAUUUGCAGGGAGUUAGUUCUUGAUUAAAACUUCUUGGGCUGAGCUCAGCUUUAUUCGUUGCAUGGAAAUUAAGUAUCCUAGCUAGGGUUUGACGUUGUUAUAUGAUUGCUCGAUUCCCAGCUAGUUCAAGGCUCCAUUUUUUUUUUUUACGUAUAUAUGCAGGAUAGUCGAAUUAAUCUAUAAUUUAAAUUGUCGAAACGAUCGGCCAGCCUCCCUCGCCGGCCGGUCGAUUCUCCAUUAGCCACAAUGGGUGUAGAGGGUGUGGACUUCUGUGAGUCACAACUUGGUUUGAAUGUCUUCUACGCGAUGUGGUCGCAGUCGACUGAUGCAGUGGGCUGUCUGGCAACGUCCCUAGCCUCUUCUUCUAGUCAGUUUGAGUGCGAAACUGAAUAGCAUACGAUCCACAAAUCAUAUCGAUUGCGACGUCGGAAGGUGUGGAUUGUAAGAUGACGGAAGGCUCAUCAUUGUGGCUAAUGGAGCAGUGGCCUUAGGCCAGAUUUCUAGUAGUGAUCAUAGCCAAAGCACCAACCGAGGCAGCUAUUUCUGUACGUACACCAGAACAGCCCUCGUGUUGUAAAACACUAAAACACAUAUGAACCUCGAUCGUAUGAUACACACCACAAGCAUAUCUCUCAUUUUCGAAGGCAGUGGUACCAAUAAUAUAUAGCUAGUAUGUAUUAGUUUUAGUUUAGGGUUUGUCUACUUACUAUACAAAUGUGUAUGGUACACAAACUCCAAAAAGUGGUUCACUCACUUCUAUUCAAGGGCAUACAAAAGAUAUUUUGAGGAGAUAAAAUUGUCAUUUUACUAUAUUUUUAAACAAUGAUAGCCACAUACGUUGUUUGUAUGAUAUGCAAAUUUGUAUACUAGAAUUUUUCUUAAUUUUAAACGUUCGUAAUAUAUGUAAUAUCUAACAUCCAUACACAUCUUUUUCAAAGAGGAUGUACACAACAACAAGUGGAUGAAGAAAAUCAGAAGAAGUUGUAGGAGAAACAAUAAUGAAUAGUUGGCGUUUGUUCGAAGAAGAAUUGAAGUCUCACCUUACGACCUAUAGAUAUUAUAGUAUCAACCAAUAUUAAUUUCUGUGAAGAAGUUCUUGCUUGCAGAUCAACACUGCGUACAAAAUUGAUAUACCAAAGUUGACGUUGACUUGUAUUAUUUUGGGUGGUUGCUAAUGUAAGAUUGACCAAUUCUUUAUAUAUAUCUCGCUAUCAACUGCUUUUCGAUUUUCUUCAUUGCGCAUGUGUUUGUGCAUAUGUUGUGUUAUUAAUUUCUUGUGUAUGAUCUGGACAAGAGAGUUUCCUGUCAAUGAAGCAUGCCACUCGUUGGAAAAUAUAUUCAAAUUUCAUAUAUAAUGUUACAAAACUUGGGAGUGGGGUAUUGUGUGUGCUAGAAUGAAUUGGAUUUGACAAGUUAAAUCCGUAAGGCAAACCUAGAACAAGAUUGACUACUAUAGACGACCAUUGCAGAAUUAGGCGACCACUUGGUCUUAGAUGAUCAUAAGCCCAUUCCAUCAUUUGAUAAUUCUUAGGUUCACUCUAGAGGUGCUGGAUCUUUUUGUGUCUCAAAGGUUUAACUGUGUCAAACAAAAACAACUACUGACUACAAAGGUUACUUGUCUCCUCCUUUUAACAAUAUGAUUGAAAAGGAAAAUGCAGGUAUUGGAGCUGAAUGUCCAUGUGAGAACCAGUAUAGAUUUUAGAGAAAAUACACCAAUGAAAAAUAUUAUUAGGAUAAAUUUUAGUUUACCCUCUUGAGAUUUGGAGUUAAUAUCAUUUCAUUCCCUAUAUAUUCUCUUAAUUUAAAUUUACCCCAUAUAGUUCAAUUUUCAUAAAUCAUGCCCAAUUGCUGAAAUUCCGUCUAAUUUGGACGUUAAAUGCUACCAUGAAAUUUAAAAAAAAUGGUCAUACAAGGGGAUUUUGUUGUUAUAUGACUAUUUUAGCUCUUAAAAUAAGUUAUAAAGUCAAAAUUAACGUCCAAAUUAGAAGGAAUUUCAGCAAUUGGGCAUGAUUUAUGAAAAUUGUAAACUUUAAUGAGUAAAUUUUUAAAAUUAAGAGAAUGAGAACUGAAAUGAAGUUAACCCCAAAUCUGGAGGUAAAAUAAAUUAAAUCCAUAUUAUUUCAAGGCUUCCUCGAUCUUCAGUGUUCUUAAAUCCUUGCGGAUUUUCGUUUUGGGCAGUAAAUUACACUCUUGUGGGCUGGGGCCAUCGUUGGCACGCAAAACAAGAACAAGGAUAAUAGUACCCCGCGGCAACGACGUUGUUUCUGAUUAAUUAUUCAGGUCAUUGCGUGACUAAGGGACCAAAAGUCAUUAUAUAUUACCCUCAAGUACCCGAUUUAUUUAAGAAUAAUUUUCCUGCCGUUUGCGGCCGUUUCCUAUUGUUUCUAGCAGUUGCGGCCAGAUCAGUGCGUAGCCAGUGUCUUAUAGAUUAGAAAUUUGUUCAUGAAAACACGCGAAUACGACCGAAAACGCCCAGAAACGCGUUGCAAACGCCCGAAAACGUAUUCGUAGAUAAGUUGGAUACGUGGGGAAUAUAUUGACUUUUUUUUAUCUUAUAAAAAAGUAGAGAAAAAAAAAUUUUAAAUAUACACCCCUAAUCUCUUAAUACACACCUCUAUUAUUUUAUGUUUCUAUUAAGAUUUUAUAGGUAAGCUAAAUGACCAAAAUAAACAUCUAUUAUUAAAAAAAAAAUCGCGCUAGAAGUGUUAUUUUCAACAUCUUCUACCCUAAAAUCGUCGAAAAUACGUCUUCUCCCUUAAUCCCAACUCUUCUCCACAAUUUAUUUGGGUUGUCUUUUUUUUCCUUCUUCUUCUUUUUAUUUUUAUUUUUAUUUUUUAUCUGUAUCAGCUUUAAUUUGAUCUUGCAGAUCAUGUUGUCAAGUAUUGCAUCUUUAUCAUGACAUGUUUUAUCGAAUAACUAGCUAUCUAUGUUUAAUAGCUACUGUACUUCUACAGUUCUACUAGCUUAUGAAUUUUGAAAACUUGUAUUGGUGAUUUGGAGUUGGGAUAUAACAAUACUCAUUUGAUUAUAAAUUGAACGAUGAUAACCAAAAAUUUCUAACAAAAAUUAGAUGAAAUAAUAUGUAAAAAGAGGUAUCAAAUAGUAAACAUAUAUUAAUUAUAUUAAAUAAUGGAAUAUUUCAUAAGUUAAGGACAUUUUAGGCAGUUUGGGAUGUGUAUUAAGUAUAAUACUGAAAUGAAAAACUUGAUAAGUGGUGUAUUAAGUAAGAGGUGUGUAUUAAGAUAUUAGGGGUGUGUAUUUAAAAUUUCUCUAGAGAAAAAAGCUGUGUCUAAGAAGUAAACCGACGUCAUUUCUAAUUAAUUACUUGGGUCGUUGCGGCACUUAGAGGCCCAAAGUCAUUAUUACUCACUUGUACCUAAUUUAUUUACGGAUAAGUUUCCAGCCUUUUGCAGCCAUUUUUGACCAUUUACGACCGUUCCAGUCAUAUCAACGUGUAGCCGGUGCCUUGUAGAUUAGGAAUUUGUUGCCGGAAACGUGUCGGAAACAUAUGCGUAAAUAAGUCGAAUACGUAGAGGCAAUAAUGACUUUAGAUAUAUAGAAAAGAGUAGAAAAUAAAAUAAAGCUGUGUCUAAGAAGUAAACCGACGAGUUUGGUAGGCUCUGGCAGAAGCUUCAUCACCCGCAGCUCCAACACACAAGAAAGAUAGAUCUCAACUACUAUGAGAAUAGUACAUUAACUUAGACAGUUUUCAGUUUUAACUAACAAGUUAAAACAAGCAAGCAAAACAUAUCAACAGAAAUACUAAAAUGUUCAAGUAGUACUAGUAGCACCAGCUAGCUGAACUUACUGAUCAUCUUCCUCUAUGUUAGUUCAAUCAUUUAAGCAACUGAAAUAACAGGAGGAGCCUUGAAGCCUUGGUUCUGAUGUUGCCUGCUAACCUGGUGCUUCACAGAUAUGCCUGAUGCGCCGAAACAGAAGUAAUGCCUCCUCAACUUUCUGUUUCUCAAAUUUGGGGUGUCAUCAUCAGCUACUUGAUUGGACCAAGAUGGUCCGGCUGCAUCAUUGUCAAUGCAUACACCUUUCUGUUUAUCUAUAGAACUCGGUGAAGAGAGUGAUGAUGUUUUCGAAAAUGAGCUAGAGCGCGAACGGCCUGGGACAGUUAUGUGUGGGAUUGCUUGCAUUACACCAUGCCUUAAACCUGAGGCGAACUUCUUCUUGGCGGUUGGACUUGAUUGGUUACUCCUCACAGCGAGUGUUCUUUUGUUAUUAGGAAGUGGUGAAGAGGCCUUUGAGAAUCUCUGCCGAAGUGGUGUGGGAGCUGCCUCAUCUGAAAUAGUGCUGCCAAAAUCUACUGAAUUCUUGAAUCUUUCAGGCUUCUUCUCUUUGAUCCGGGGCCACCCUAUUGCGCGUUUCAGUCGUUGCGCUGCAUGGUUUACAGAACCUGAAGGCUUUUUAGUACUGAUUGAGGUCUGGUUUUCAUCAGUGGUGUUGUGUGGAUUUAGUUCCGUUGAAGAUACAUUGCUUCCUAUACUAAGCUUAUGCUGAUGACCAGCACUGGCAACCGGUACAUUUUCAAUUCCUGUAUACAGAAAGAUUUCAGUGUCGGAGAUUUUAAACGAUGUUCCAGGACUGCCUCCAUCGCCUUGCAUUUUUAAGUGUGAAGCAAUGGCUUUUCUUGCACUGUAAUAGUCCUGACAACCAAAAAUCCCCCCAGCCGAAAUCAACUGCCUAAUUAGUUUAUCAGACGAUGCAGAAGGAGGCCAUUGCCUGAGGUAAUCAAGUGCUGUCAUGCCAUCCACAUCGCGGACAUUGACAUCAAUUGUUUGAGACAUCAUAAGAAGUUGCACCAAGUCAGAGUGAACAUUACCAAUGAUUGCUGUGUGCAGGGCAGUCCGGCCUUCGUUAUUCUUGGCAUUGAUGACUUCUUCAAUGUCAAACACUCUCCCACAAACCAAGAUCUUCAGGAGCUGAAUCUGCCGGUCCAAUCUACGGAAGGCAGGAGUUUGGAAACCGGAUAUAACCUUAUGGAGAAAUGUUUCUCCAGAGUUGUUUGUCGUAGAAAUCAUUGACGAAGGAAAUGCAGAUAGAAGAGCUUCAACUGCAGCUAAGUGGCCCCUAGACGCUGCUACAUGCAAUGCUGUGUUUCCUUGAUGGUCUCUGGAGUUUAUGAUAUCAUAGGUGGCUGUAAGAUACUUCACUACCUGCAUCGAUAACAAAGAUCAUUAUCAAAUGUACAGACCAAAUAAUUACAAAGUUUCAGUCAGGGCUUAAAAUAAGUGAUUUCAACCAGGGAGGGACAACAUAUGCCUUAAUGCCUUAUACAGAACAGCUACAAACUGGAAUUCUCUUCAUUAAUAAUCGCAAAGAAGUUAAAUCUGAAUGAAGUAGAUAGAAGAUGAAGAUGUAGCUAACAAGAAGUGAUUUUUAUUUUUCAUAGUGAAUACACAGUAAGAAUCGAUAAGUUUUUCGAACAAUCAUGAAUCGGCCGAGGAAUUAUGCCGCCUUGAAGUUAUAACUGUAAUCCAUGAUUCAUGACAUGACUCGAGUAGUAACACACAAACACAAAUAAAGCCACACAGAAUCAUGUCAUUCACCUUAUUCUCUCUUCAUGCUACUAUAUCCAUUCACAUACAACAAAUCAACCAUAACUUCAUAUUGGCAGAGAUUAUUAGCAUCUUGAGUCAUUCCCAACUCCAAAAAUUAGUCAAUUACCAAGAAAAUCGAUUAAGAGAUAUCUUUGAAAUUUAUGCAGCUUAUGCUUGUACAAGUGAAAGAAGAAUACGCAAAAGAAAAAAGCUUUUCAAUAUGCACAUAAAUGGAAGCUAGAAGCCUCACCUCUACCCGUCCUUUUCCAGCAGCUGCAUGUAGAAUAGUGGAUCCUUGAACAUCUCUAUAAGUCAGAACAUCAUUGCAAUCCGAAAGAAGCUCCUUCAAGAUCAACAAGUUUCCUCCUCUAGCAGCAGCAUGAACCGCCCUAUUAACCAUCUCCCUCUUAUAAACACAAGGAAUUUCCCCGAUGUGUUCCUCCAACUCCCCACCUCUGCCUGAAAAUCGCGGCGAAACUGCAUAGUCAAACAGCAGCCUGAAAACUUCUGCAUUCUUGCUCUUAGCAGCAGCAUACAGUAUAUCAGUAACACCAAACUCUCCUUCCCCGAAAACAAGAAGAGGGUUUCUCUCUAACAUUUCUUUCACAAAACCAAGCUGACCAGCUGAGGCAGCUGUGUAAAUGAGCCAUCCACCAUAACCAGCUCGGAUGAGAGAGUUCUUUCCCUUCUUGGACUCACAUUCAUGAAACAGCUUUCGUGCAACAUGUGCACGGCACUUCGCUACAUCGUGGAACUGUUCUUCAUCGUCCCAAACAGUCUCAAGGCGACGAAUUCUGCGUAGUGAGGUGAGCUUAAUGAGGUGGUUGCUGUCAAUGCGGAGGAGCUCUCGGACCAAAUCAUACUGUCCAUUGGCAGCUGCAUAGUCUAUAGGAGAAGCAUACCACCAUUGGUCUCCGGUGCUCUCCCACCGUAGAGGAAAAUGUGUGGCAGGCAUUCUGUAGAAUGUGUUUAGCAAAAUAUACUGCAAUGCUACUAAGAAUACCAAAGUUAGUGAGACUUGAUGAAAGCUCACACAAUGAGAGGAGAAGAGGACCCUGGUUUGGUAUUAAUUUAAGGAGUUGAACUACUUCCUGCUGUUCCAAUUCAUAUAGAAAUAUGAAAAUGGAAACGAAGAAUUAACAAAAGGAAAGCACAUGCAGUAAAGGGAAUUAAGAAUUGCCUCAAGUGUGGAGGCCAAGGUUAGAGAGGAAUAGUUAAUAUAUCAAGUAGUUGAGAUGAGAAGGGAAACAAUCAUCAUUGCUUACACAAAUGGAAGGCAAGAAAAGAAAUAGGCCCUUUGAGAUAUGUUGCAAUAAAAUAUGGUCAGUAUCAAAUAUUUUCAGAAGAUAUCAAAGAGGCAGAUGAUCAAUAUUUGGUUGUGACAGAUAAGGGACCGGUACGGUGGAUAGCAUAUAAACUAUAUAUGACUUGAAUGCUAUGCUAUGGUUUGAGGAAGAAAAACUAAGAUUAAAACGAUAUUUCAAGGUGAAAGGAGAUUCCUCUUGUACAGUGAAAGUUACAGAUGCAGAAAUGAUGAUGAUGAUGUUAAGCAAUAAGAUAGAUUAGACUAAAGUUUACUGGUAGGAGUAAUGAUAAUGAUCAUAGAGGAGAGGAAGAAUUACCGUGCUCAAAGAUGUCGGAAUGAUAAAAAAAAGUCUGAGGCAGAACUGAAGGAAGGCAGAGAGCUUUUCAGAAAUGGAGGUGGAGCUUCUUUUUUUUUUUUUUUUUGGUCUGAAGAGAUGGAGCUUUUCAGAGAGAGAGUUUAUGACAUAAGAGAAUUCUUAGUGACCCUUAAACAUAUCAUUAGUAUAAGUUUUGGUUUCCACACUAGUAAUUAUUAUAAUUUUGCUUUAUUCUUUGGUCUGUUAGCUACUCUAUUUAGACAGAAAUGGGCUAAAGUGACAUUCCACUUGCAUCAUCAUCCACUUAAUUUGUUGUUCCAGUCAAGUACUCAACCAAAGAUAACACUGAUGUUCAGCAUUUGACUCCAGAAUCUGGUGUAUAUAUUUCAGGAAAUUUUAUUCAAAAGAAUUUAGAAACCAACUUAGAUUUAGAGGAACUUAAUGUUGGGAUGGUGAUAGGUAGCUUACUCAAACCAACUUCUAUGUGCUAACCUAAAUGGCUCAUCUAUUAUCAACUGCAUAAAUUAAUAUUGGGUCGGUGCAUACCCAACUAGCACAUCUUUGACAUAUAUUCCAAAACUCGACUUAUAAAUUCCAACCAUGAGACAUAAAUAGGUAUUAUUCCUUAUCAUUCAAGACUCAGAAGGUUUAGAAAACCCUUCAAGAGAGAUUUUAAUCAUCUGCUUUUCUCAUCAUUCUCUUCCCUCUUGCAGAAUGGAAGUAUCAGCAUUCAGCAGAUCAAAUUCUAGAGGGGAAGAGAUAUGGUAUAGCCUAGUUGGGUUUGUUAACUCAUUCCAAGAGAAACUGAACUAUAAGGUUGGGAAGGUGAAGUCCUCUUAUUGAAACAUACAGCUAACUCUCAAUAAAAGCAAAAGAUGCCAUAUGAAAUGUGGGAUAGAGGCAUGCACCGGCAUUUCUAACUUUUUGAGAAGAACAAGAUUCAAAAGCUAUGAAUUGGGAAUAGUGGGUUACUACCCCAAUACUGACUUUACAAAACCUUUAGCAAUAAUAAUGCAUGCUGCAUGUGACAUGUCAAAUUUCCAUGAGUCUCUUUCUUUGCUUUGAUAGAAACCAUUGAAGCCUAACCCUUCACAUGGAAAAUCCAGAAAGUAAAAGCAUGUUGGGUUUAUCCUAGUAUGUAUAAGCAUGCGUAAGAGUGAUAGAUGAUAUAUAUAGUUCUUUGUAUUUCUACAACAAGCUAGAGAAGUUCUGCAUAGAUGUGAUAGAGUUAUGACCUUGAUGAAUGAGGACAAUGGAUGGAUGACCAAGUUGAUGUGAUAAUGAUGGAGGGAAAAGGGAAAAACAUGUAGCUUUCUGUGAAUCGAUCACUAGUGAUGAGAUAGGAAUAGGAUUGGAAGUAGGAUCAAACAGAAUCCGACCCACCAUUUGUUAUAAACUGAAGUUGGGUAGUACCUAAUGGGGGACAUCAGUAGGACAGGAGGAUGGUGCCUUCCACCACAUAUGAAUAUGAUGUUCAAUAACCAAUCUCCUAAAGUUUAGGGCCCAACUGAAUGAUGCAUUAAUCAAAUUCUAUAAUGCAUAGCUGGGGUUAAUGUGUUCUUGGUAUGUAUAUAUAAGAAAGCAUCUUAUAUCUAGGCAUAACUUCCUUGCAUAUAUCAGAUAGAAACCAGGAUUUGUUUGUAUCAGGGUAUGAAGACUAGUUAUGCAUAUAGAUUGAUGUUCAAAGGUGAACUCAAGUGAAGCAAGAGUCUUGAUCGAUCGUGUGGCCAAUGGUGGUUAUUAACGCUUCGAUUAAAAUCGCAAGAGUGCUUCGAUUAAAAUCGCAAGAGUGCUAGUGAAGUUAUUCUUAGGUACUAGUGAAAAUUGUUUGCCCAGAGAUGAAAUUAAUGGUUAUUGAGAUUUGUAUGUAGUGUACUAAUCAAAGGCUCAGCUGCUGCGAGUCCAAGUCCAGGGCAUACCCUUUCCCUUUCAUAAAGCAUAUCUUCUUUCUAAACUAAAAGUCUAGAACUGCUGUGUGAAAGUCGAUCAUAGAAGCAAUAGUGAACUGUGAAAGAGAACCUUUCUUUAACUAGCAGAGUAAAGGUAGACUCCAUUAUAAGCUAAAACAGUAAUGAGGUUAAUGAGUGAUUGAGUAUGUAAUUGUUAAGGCUCCACAAAUGAGCUAAGAUCAUUUCUUCGAUUCCUUUUCUUCUUUAAUAUUCCAUCACAUAAUCUCCUCACAUGCAAAAGACACAAUCAUUCAAAGGAAAUCCCAGAAGAUUCAGAAGCAUAACAAAGUAGUAAAAUUGGUACCUGUCUUCUGCUUGUUAGCACAUGACACAGCAAUCAGGGCAUUUGACCAUUUGUAUUAAUCUUCCAGACUCGUCUGAUCUUUAGGGUUUUGGCACCAAGAUCACAAUGCUGUCAAUGCAUUGUCUGUAAACUAGGGCCCAAGCUCACCCAUGAAACCCACUAAUGCUAGCAGAAAUGUCAUCACCCAAACUCUGAUUGGAAUCUUUCUAGGGUUUCUUUCCCAGUGUAUAUCUGCUUAGGGUUUCGACUAGUGAUGACAGCGACGAGGAAAAAGAGGGAUUUAGGGUUUAGGGAUCUCGGCAUCGAUCCAUAUUCUGCUCGAUCACUUCCUUCUAUUUGAUUAGGGUGGAGUUCAUCGGAAUCAUUGCUUUGAACAUUUUGAACAUUUUGUCCCUCCAACGCUAACAUCAAUUUGCCAAAUCCUUUUUUAUCACUGGCAAACUGAUAUUAACGUUGGAGGCAAAAAAUGUUUGAGGCAAUGAACUCCACCCUAGUCUACCCUUUUAUGUACACUUUUUAUCCUAUUCUUUGCUCUUACCCUAAAGUAUAAAAUGGUUUAAUUUACCCAAAAAUAGUUUCAUUGUGACUUGUGAGGGCAACAAGUUCAUUAUAUUCUUAUCAUAGCUCUCUCGACUUCACUUCAUACAGAGCUUUACAAGUCUAAGAGAAGUUUACCAAUAUACAUGUAUUUUUAUUUAUUUACUCUUGUGCCUCCAUCAUGACUCCCUGAUCGAGUUAUUAGGUAUUAUGCUUGAUGCAUAAGUUGUCCACAAUUUCAGAAUUUUGAGACACCUGACAUAUUUGACCGUUCCGUAAUAAAAAUGUCUUGUUACAUAUCAUCUGGAAGUUCGAGACUAAAACUUCAUUCUGAAAAUAUGAAUGAAAGUUGUUACAUAACAUGGUUUUAUCAGAGAAAAAUCAAUGUGUAAAAGUGGUGGGUAUUACCGUAUUAGCCUCACGAUUACUUUGCAACGGUUUAGUAACAAGCAUCAAAAGAAAUCAACCAACCCUAUAGUUGAAGGAUAAAAAGUAAUUCAAUCUAGAUAAAACGGUAAAAGACGACGGCCCAAAGUCACAACAAGAAGCUAUCUAAAAGCCCAGCCCAGCCCAGCCCACCUUCAGCGAAUUGCCCUCUUGCCCAAGUAGUUAAAGGGUUUUAAUAGCGUGACAUAAACCCUAGUACCCUCAGAAACCCCACACAUUUCAAUCCCAAAUCUCCCUUCUCCUUCUCUCUGAGAUUCCUCCCAAAAUGAGCAACCAGGCCGCCGUGUCCUUCCUCACCAACCUCGCACGCGCCGCCUUCGGCAUCGGCGCCGGCGCCACCAUCGUCAACUCCGCCCUCUACACCGUCGACGGCGGCCAGCGCGCCGUCCUCUUCGACCGUUUCCGCGGCGUCAUCGACGAAACCGUCGGCGAAGGGACCCACUUCCUCGUCCCGUGGCUCCAGAAGCCCUACAUCUUCGACAUCAGGACCAGGCCCCACACCUUCUCCUCCGUCUCCGGCACCAAGGACCUCCAGAUGGUCAACCUCACCCUCAGGGUUCUCUCCCGCCCCGAGGUCAACCGUCUCCCUCAGAUCUUCAAAACCCUAGGGCUCGAGUACGACGAGAAGGUCCUCCCUUCCAUCGGCAACGAGGUUCUCAAGGCCGUCGUGGCGCAGUUCAACGCCGAUCAGCUCCUGACGGAGCGCCCGCACGUCUCGGCGCUGGUGAGGGAGAGCCUGAUCCGUAGGGCUAGGGAUUUCAACAUUGUGCUGGAUGACGUGGCGAUCACGCACCUUUCGUACGGGGCGGAGUUCUCGCGCGCCGUGGAGCAGAAGCAGGUGGCGCAGCAGGAGGCGGAGAGGUCUAAGUUUGUGGUGGCGAAGGCGGAGCAGGAGAGGAGGGCUGCGAUUAUCAGGGCGCAGGGAGAGAGUGAGGCUGCUAAGCUGAUUUCGGAGGCGACUGCCACUGCAGGUAAUGACCUGAUUGAGCUGAGGAGGAUUGAGGCCAGCAGAGAGAUUGCCGGAACACUCGCCAAGUCGCCCAAUGUCAACUACCUGCCUAAGGGGAACAAUGUGCUCUUUGGCCUCGGUGGUCGUUGAAGGUAACGCCUUCGAUUUCUCUGCAAUCGUGUUGUUUCUUACGAUUAUGUUAUGCUUUGUUUUGCACCUUGAUGCUAGGCAUUAGUGUGAAUUGAGACCUUGAUGCUAUGAAUUAGUGUGAAUUGAGACCUCCAUGCUAUGCAUUAGAAUAGGGAGCAACGUUACUUGUCUGUUCUCAUUGCGAAUUGAUAACUGAAUGGUAUUCAUUUGUAUUUUGUUUCAGUAGGUUUUGGUAGAGAUAAAGAGCAACACUAUAUGAACUGAUUAAUCAGAAUAAUGUGGUCAAAUUCUAGCUUAGUGAUGGCAUUUUGAUUAGUUAUGAUAUGAUACACAUUUAAGUAAAUUAAACCUGUCCUGAUGAGAACUGAUUAACAGGAAUACAGUGUGAUCAAACUUCUAGUUUAGUUCAGACCGCUUAUGAUAUAAUAAAGAAUUAAUGUAACCAAGUAUCUAUGGUGGUUAAACAACGAAUGAAGAAUGAAUGAUAACUAACAACCAAGUUUGGUUGCAUUCUGUGUCUUUUUUCGUUGCGAAUUGAUAGCUGAAAGAUAUGCAUUUGUGUUUUGUUUCAGUAUCUUAAGGUAAAUGAAAAGAAAACCCCUAUCUGAACUUAUUAAUCUGAAGAACGUGGUCAAAUUUCUAGCAUAGUUCAUUUAAGUAAAUUAAACCUGUCUUGAUGAGAACUAAUAACUAGAAUACAGACUUCUAGUUUAGUUUAGACCGCUUAUGAUAUGAUAAAGCAUUAAUGUAACCAAGCAUCUAUGGUGGUUAAACAAAUUGGAGCCUCGAGUGAAGAGCAGAGAGCCAUGCGCUUGUUACUUCUCAUAGUGCUCCGGAAAUUGAUUACCUUGCUGUUUCAGAAGGAUGGUUUUCCAUGUUUUUGUGAAUAUUAAGGGACAUGAUACAUCAGGUAGGAAAGUUUAUGGCUCAAGCUGCUAGAUAGUUUUUGUGAACUUCUGUAUGCGAUCAUUUUCUUUUGGUUUUGCUUUUUACUAUAAGAGGGGGAAGCUUCAAUGUGGUGUUCUUCUCACCCUUGUAGCCAUAUAAGGUGCAUGCAGCUUACAUGAACAUUGACAUUUUACUUUAGUUGACAUGCUUAAAGUUGGUGGUUGUCCCCUGCAACAUAUUGUUACUGCCUAUGCUGAUGGCUAGCACCAACCAAGAAUUUCUGUUAAUCUUAGUCGGCAAUGCAGUACUUGGUUUUCAAAACUUGAUUAGACAUUAAUUGGGAAUUGGUUUCUUCUUUAGAUUCUAUUAUUCCCUUCUCAGACAUACUGUACACAGUCAAGUGAAUUUGGUUGCUUAUUUUAUGGCUCCUUAUGCUUUUACACUAGUAAGGAAGAAUUGAUGAAAAUAAUUGUUAUAUAUCCUUGUUACUUGAUUUAGUUCAUUUUGGAAUUUAAUGCAAGAUAUUGCUAAAAAUUUUGCAGGUUCCUCAAGGAGUAGCAUCAACAUGAUCGGAUCAUAAAUAGUCAGAAGAGAACACUAUUGGUACUUCUGUUUUUGCGUGGAAAUAGUUUAUCGGAAACUUCAUAAUGAUAAAAACUGAUGGUAUUAGCCUUUUAGGUCGUUUAAAUGUCCGAAUUUAUGAAUGUUUGUUUGUACUUUUGAUAGAGAUUUUGGAGCCUUUUGUUAAUAUGCUGCUGUGUUGCCCACUGAUCUAUCAUUAUUAUCUGUUUCCUUCUAUCUAUAAUGAAUUUUUAAUUCAUCUUGUCAAACAUGUAACUAUAGUAAUGAGCAAGGAAGAAGUGGAUGUUCAAGGGAACAGUCUGCUUGUAUUUCAUUGUAGCCAUAGCUACUCCAAAUGAAAUGCACACCUUGUACCUACUCGGGUACCGGUGUUCAACUCUCUACAAAAUGGAAGAAAAUCUACAUCUUGAGGUCAAGAAUUAGCUGCCUGUGAACUUUCAUCUUGGCUAACAGAGGCCAUGUGACGGAUCAAGUCGAUAACUCGUGUGCUGCAUAGUGCAUCACACUGUUUUAGUAUCCCACUGUGAUGUUGAAGAAACCCAGAUUGCAUAAUAAAGACAGUGAGAUACUUACCUAUAAGCCCAUUCAUUGUCAUACCAAGAGACAAGCUUUACAAAGUUGUCAUUCAGAGCAAUUCCAGCCUUGGCAUCGAAAAUGCUGGACCUGCAGCAUAACAAAUGAUGCACUCAUUGAGAAAUGCUCCUGCAAUUUCCAUUAGAAAGGUCGAAAAGAAAGGCGCACAACCAGAAACUACUGAAAAUCCAAUCUGCAUAGGCAUCACACUGCAUUAUAUGUCCGUCGAUUUGUACUAGUAUCCAUGAAAACCCUCACCUAUUGUCACCUAAAAAGUCGGUGGAAACCACAUCAUCAUCUGUGUAUCCAAGGAUUCCUUUCAGGCUACCCUCAGAUUCUGUCCUGCAUUUUGCAGCAGAACAAGACUGUAGAUGAGCUGAUCAUCAAAGAUUAAGUUGUACCAUCAAACAGAACAAUCUGGCAAAUAGGUUGUUACAUCCUCAUUCUUACUUGAUAGCAUUUUUGAUCUCUUCAUAACUUGCCUGCUUCUCAAGUCUCACGGUGAGGUCAACCACAGAAACAUCGACAGUGGGAAUGCAGAAGGCCAUUCCUUUCAGUUUCCCAUCUAGUGCCGGCAGCACUUUACCAACAGCCUACAAAUAUCAAAUCAGCUCCAAUUAUCAACAUCUCUAAAAAAAAUUGGUGAAAAAAACUAAGAUAAGUAGCACAGAUAGAAAGGUCUAGGUCGAUAUCAUUCCUAGCAGUAUUGGAGCUAGGAAUGAUGUUGCGCCCAGCAGCUCUUCCGAUUCUCCAGUCUUUCUGACAAUGUGCAUCAACAACCUUUUGAACACCUCCUGCAUUGCAUCGAAAAAUUACAGUGCUACCUUACUUUCUGCUGAAAUGGACACAUGUACACUAAUUUAUGCAAGCCUCAGAUUUCUCAACGUGGGAUUCUACAAUCUCCAACAAGAUCGAAAACAGGCUGAGCUUGCAACUGAGAUGAAUGCAUUUUACAUACAUACUGACCAGCCAUAGAGUGGACCGUGGUCAUUAGACCCUCCACAAUACCGAAUUUCUCAUGGAUAACCUGUCAAGAUAUGUAUCUUAGUUAGUAACCCAGUUAAUCAAGUAACCAAUAUGAAACUAAGCUGGUUACCUUUGCCAAUGGAGCAAGACAGUUGAUAGCACAGCUUGCAUUGGAAACAACUUUAAGGUCGGGAGUGUAGUCCUUCUCAUUUACACCUACAACGAACAUAGGAGCAUCGAUACUUGGAGCUGUGAUUACAACUUUCCUUGCACCAAACUGUAUGUAUAUAAACAAAGUUAGCAUAUAGUAAACACAAAAUCAUCACCAUUGAUUAACAUCUAAGCUAAUUCACCUGCAUAUGAGCAGCAGCUCUGGCGUAAUCCGUCAUAUAUCCGGAGGCCUCGACCACAUAUUCAGCCUGGAGCUCUUCCAAUGGGAGGUAGGAGGGAUCCCUAGUUAACCAAACGUACAGGAAACUUGGUAUUUCAGUACUCUAGCGAACAAAGUAAACAUAGAAUCGAGUUAAGGUCUAAUUGGUAACUAAUUAAGUCAGUACUAUACCUGCCCUCAAAAACUCUAAUUGGGUGGUCACCAAAGAGAAUGGUCUUAUCAUCCUUAAGCUUAAGUUCAUGGUGGUGCUUCCACUUCCCGUGAACACUGUCGUACUUAAACAUGUAGAUCUGCGUAAGACAAUCUGAUGAGAAAUCAAGUCCGAUGAGUAAGACAUCCAUACAUUUACAUACCGAUGCAAGAGUAGCUAUCCGGUUAGCUUCAUAUUACUCUAAACUAACUCAUCCGACAAUGUUACAUUAUCAUUUUGAGAAAUUGUGUACAUACCAUAUACUUGGCGUUGAUAUUAGGAUCAUUUAUAGCAACGAUUUCCAUGUCAUCUCUUUGUAGAGCAACCCUAGUCACCAAGCGGCCGAUUCUUCCAAACCCUUCACCACAUAGCAUCAGAUCAAGAACAUUGAUGUAAUACAUGCAAAUAGCUCAGCGGCAAUGAAGAAAUAAUGCAUAUAAUACCAUUUAUGACAAUCUUGAUCUUGGCCAUGAGGAAUGCUGCAAUGUAAGUAAAAUGCAAAGAGAGUGAUACUGAAAAUUGCUUUGAGAUUAUGAAAGAGGAAGAAUGAAAGACAGGGUAGUUAAGUAUAAGUAAAAGACCACCAUGGACGACACCUUAGGCGAACGAAAUGGGCGCUGCACUAUCACUUACCGUAUAAACUCUAGUGAGGUGGCAUGGACGCCGUUCCAUUCGAACAAAGAUCGACGAAUUGGUAAACAGUGACUAUGAAGGAAAUCCAAUAUAAGGAAAUAAAUAAUAUCUUUCUUCACAUAAAUGAUAAUUAAAUAACUAUGUAAACGAAUUUACUGACCAUCUUUUACUUACCAAUCUUAAUACUCAUCAUCUAGAUCAGUGACAUCUUAGUUUUUGCAUUAUGUUUUAAGGUCGUACUCGGAACAAUGUAACACUUAUAACUUUCUUCAAGUUUCCUAGUAACCAAACUAAAGCAACAAUUUAUCAUUAAUUAGGGACUAUAUACACCUACUGACCCUUAAUAACUAGAAAUUUCUCAAGUGACCUUCAAGGCCUAGCGUUGUUGGAGGCUCGGUUACUUUGUUGUUUUGGACCGUUGUUCUAGCCACGUUUAGAUUAUUGCACAAGGUUUAAUUGUUGUUUUGGAUCCUGCUAAUGAUAAUAAUUAUAGUAGGAUUUAUGCAGUUAUCCGUAAGAAGUCUACUAAUUUUUUGUCUCAACUUCAAGCCUCAAACUCAAUGUACGUCGCAUAUUAGAGUGAAAAUUACAAACUGAAUUAAUUGCGAAUCAAUUGUAUUCGAUACAAUUGUGGUAGGCGCCUAGGCGGGUAGAUACUGUAGUAUGAAUUAAACAGGUACUCCAUUCAUGAUCUGGUUCUGGUUUUGUGCUUCAUGCUCAGUCCAGCGGCAUAUCCUGAUGAUCAGCUCCUUCAGUCUUUCAGACGCACGAGCAAUACCUGCAACUGCGAAACUCUCCAUCAAGUCGCUACUCAUCACAAUUAGCUUCUCUUUCAAUUCACCAAUGGCUAGAACAAGAGCUGAGACUCCACUUUCACAUAAUGUUUUCAAGUAUUGGUAUGACUUGCUCGCAACACUAACAAAACAGAUGCUCCAGAUGAAGAGAACGAGCCAACCAAAAGGUGGAAAGAGGAUGAGCAGCUCUAAAGUGAAAGCCAGAGUUCCCAACAUGAUGAUAAUCCUAUUCAUGAAUUUACGAAAGUUUACUGUACCGUGAUCAUUUUGGAGUAUCAUGACACCUAUUGACCCGAAGUAAGCCGAUAUGUCGAUAACAAACAGCCUCAUCAAUAGUGUGCUCUUGUAGUCUGGAGAUGAAUUUGCAAAUUUCAAUUGCAGGCAAAAGCCAAGGAUGGUGAUGAGAGAAACAAUACAUUUGUUCAAUCCCACCAUAGAUUUGCUCCUAGGUGCACCCUGCUCCAUUCUGUUAUUUAUUAAGACCAUAAGAAAAUUGAUUGAGUUAAAAAUUAUAUAUCAAAUUAGUGAAAAAGAUCGACUAUGGCUACGAAUGAGUUGCAGCUAUGCAAAAUAUAAUGUAGCUAGUAAGAUGACUAACACUGGCAAGUUAACAGAACUGCUGUUCCCCAUCUCUGUGGAUCGGAGCUCAAAUGUGGAUCGCAGCUCAAACCUUCCUCACCGUGUUGAUGAAGGUGGAGGGUGUGCUUUUCUUACUUUUCUUAGUCCCUUAUAUAAGCAAAUCAUAUACUCAAAUGUGGAACUCGGAACUCCGAGCUCAAAUGUGGAAACUCAAAUGUGGAUAAAUCAUAUAUCUGUCAACAACCUUUGACGUGGAACUCGGAACUCGGAGCUCAAAUGUGGAAACUCAAAUGUGGACAAAUCAUGAUGCAUGUGGACAAAUCAUAUAUCUGUCUGUGUUUAUGAAGGUGUUGAUGAAGGUGGAGGGUGUGCUUUUCUUAACCUUUGACUCGGGGUGUGCUUUUCUUAACCUUUGACUCGGACUGGGAGCUCAAAUCAUAUAACUGUCUGUGUUUAUGAAGGUACGGAGCUCAAAUGUGGACAAAUCAUAUAUCUGUCUGUGUUUAUGAAGGUAAUCAUAUUUCGUCAUUUAUAUCCUGACCUUUCCCCCACUAGGGAACAGCAACCCAACCACUGCGCUGGAUAUUGACACUGGUUAACUGUAAACAAAGAACUUACAUAUACCAUUUCUAGCUUAUUCACUAUAUUUCUUUGAUGCAUUGUAACAAUUUUUUUUUAUUAAAUUAGUGGAUGGAGAAAUUAUUUACAAACAUGUAAUAUCUUGAGAUAAAUUAAUAUAUAUAUAUGAUAUUCUUUUUAAUCACGAUGUAGUAAAUCUUAAUUUUUGGGUAAAAAAAAAUCUAAAGGCAUUGAAAAUAAUUUUGUAGUAGGUAUUGAACUUUGAUUUUUAUUUACAAAAAAUGAAUAGUACCAUAUUAGUCAUUUCAUUGCCUAUUCCAUAAGGGUUAUGAAAUAGUAGGUUAAUGUUGGUAUAUUUAUAUCAAUCGCUAUUCCAGAAAGUGAAAUUCCAUGUCAUGUAAUUCAUUUAAUUAUAUAAUGCAUCAAAGAAUUAUAUAUAAUGCAGAAGAGAAUUAUAUAAGUGACUUAAUUUAGGCAAAAAUUAAAUUAUUAGAACAACAAAGUAAUCGGAGAAUAAGAAACAAAGGUAGAGUUGGCCUACUGGUUAGGUCACUCAUCUCUCACUACUUUUUUUUUAUCAAAUAUCGGACCAAAGGGCCCGACCCUAAUUUCCUACUGGAGCUAAAUCUCUUGUAUACCAUGAGGUUAGGAAAAUGAUCAUCAAGACCAGAGGACUCAACCGACAUAUUGCCAACAAAGCAUCGGAAUUCCAACAAGGCAGUGGCUUCUAUCGCUUGAAGAAAUAAUAACAUGAGUCAACUUCGCCUCUUGAGUAGUGAAUACUCAUGAUAAAGAAUGGGUGAAAACCAUCAUUACUCAUCAGCUGUGUUUGUAAUGAGCCAAUCAAGCAGAACGACCACAUAGGAUCAAAAGAGCUAAACACACAAACAAAACAAAAGAUAAAAACAGUACACACAUAAACAUAAUGAGGUGCAGUAGCCCAGCCUUGACCACCGAGCCCAAAUCUCAGCAUAGGCCCAGAUAUCUGUAGCCUACCCAAAACUAGACCCGGUCCAUGGCCUAAAUUCGCUUCACUUGCCUGCUUCCGUCGAACCACCACUCCUCCAUCAACACCUUCGCUAGCUUUCCCCAAGCUAUAGAUCGAGCUUCCCACACUAGCCUGCACAACUCAGAUCGACGGGCCGAGGCCGCCACCAUCAGAUUCGCGGCCAAAGCUUCCAAACUCGGUCGAACUUCCCUGAGAUAACUCGCCGUAACCCAACCAGAGACCCGAUAUGACCUCAAAUCAUCUAUCGAUCUCUAAUGCUUCCAUGAGAAACUCAGACAGACCUGAUCCGAACAGAAGUAAACCGGAUCAGGUACUAUGGACGCCGGAACAACCACAAAAAUCCCAUGCUAGAACGAAUCUGAACCCUUCCCCUACCACCUCAGUUGGAUCUGCAACUUCCAAUCCCACCUCUUCAUUCCUUCCAACUCGCCCACCAACCCAAACAAAAAUAGGAGAAGAAGACGAGCAAAAAUGGCGCGCACUCCAGCUAAACGUUUCCUCUCCCAGGCUAAGACAUUACGGCGAGGCCGCCUACAAUGUUUAGCCAGGAGAGAGAGGUUUUCUUUCUUAAUAGGGUUUUUUCCUUAGGCGCGUUCUAUUUUCUAAUGGCUCGUGUAUGUCGAUUGUCCUCAUCACUCACACUUGAGUUCACAGUUUCGAUCCCCCUUAUUGUAAACUGGGGUAGAUAUUUUUGUUUAAUUGGACGAAGAUGUAUUGAAGUGCCGAGAUUGCCCUCAAAUUAUUUAAGACUUAACUGCCGUAUUGAAGAAUUUGAUAGUUGGGUAUCAAAUUGAAGAUAGCCCUAUAAUUCAAAUGGUUUUUUGUAAUUAAUCCUUAAUGUUAUUUUCAUGUCAUAACUCUGUCUUAGUGUCAUUUUUCAAACUCUCUGCCUUUGUGUCAUUUUCUAAACUCACUGCUUUAGUGUCAUUUUCAGAGAAAUGAACCAAAUGAGUCAUAUAUAUAUACUCAUGAUUAUACGAACCAGGUGAUUACAAAAAACACAAGUACUCAUAAGCCUUGCACAAUGUUUUGAAGGGGGCAGAACUCUUCUUGGAAAUGUGGAAUUCCUCUCCCAACUGGUUAUUUGUAUUCAUCAUUCAUCAAUCUCUCUAUACUAUUCAUCUGUUUUUUUUUUGUUGUGGAGAAGAACAAUCUUAACACAAAUCAAAGCAAAACCAAAAUCUAUCCCUCGUGUUUGCUCAUUCAAUUUUGGAUUAACAACAGAAGAUUGGUACUGAAGGCCUCCCAAACAAAAUAUGUAACCCUCAAGAGUCAGCAGAACUAUUCCAAUAAAAAAAACUCUGUAGCCAUGGUUGAAACCUAGCUAGCUGCAUGCAAUGGUGAUUUAGGAACUGACUUUGCUUAUGUAACUGUGGCCAUAUGACAGAUCAAGUUGAUAACUCGUGAGCUGCAAUACACCGUGUUCAUCAGAAAACUGUGAUGUCAAAAAAAAUCUACAAUAUAUUUAUGUAGAAAUUGUGGUAUUACCUGUAACCCCACUCAUUGUCAUACCAAGCGACAAGCUUCACAGAGUUGUCAUUCAAAGCAAUUCCAGCCUUGGCAUCGAAAAUGCUCGACCUGCAGCAUAACAUGUAUGCACUCCCUCAGAGCCUCAAUCAAUUAACUGAAGUAAAGAAUAGGGCCGUUACCUAACCAAGUGCUGCAGGUUUUAUAGAGGCAACAUGUCACAGUCAGCAAUAUUCUGUCAUUCUCACCUAUGGUUACUCACAAAGUCAGUGGACACCAAAUCAUCGUCUAUGUAUCCUAGGAUUCCCUUUAGGUUAUUGAAAGGAAACUCAGAUCAUUGAGGAGAUAGAGUUGAGCAUGCCUUGAAAGACAAGCAAGUUAUAUCAUCAAAAAGAAAAAUAGGCAUAGAGAUGCACCAAAAUAUGAAACCAAGCAAGUCUUUAGUAGUUUAGUGUGUUUCAAAUUCUAUAAGAAACCAAAGUGGAUGGCCUGAUCCUUACUUGAUAGCACUUUUAAUCUCAUCAUAUGUAGCCUUCUUCUCAAGUCUUACUGUGAGGUCAACCACGGGCACAUCAACAGUGGGAACCCUGAAGGCCAUUACUGUCAACUUCCCAUUUAGCGCAGGCAGCACUUUACCAACACCCUAUAAAUCAAACCAAAACUAGUUCUGAAAAUUUCCCAAAUCUUUUAGACAGCAUUAGAGAAUCAUACGAACUCUGAAGACAUACAUUACAUCUACCAACACAAGGUGUUAGGGGUCCAAUAUAAUACCUCGGCAGCUCCAGUACUAGUUGGAAUGAUGUUACGGCCAGCAGCUCUACUAUCUCUCCAGUCUUUCAUUAGUGGACUACCAACAGUCCUUUGAGUAGCUACAUCACAUAUCAAAGGAACCUUCAACCAAUGAUUCAUUACAGUCUAGCUUGCUUAGAAUCAAAUGAGCAUACUAUACAUUCUCACCAGUAACUGAAUGGACAGUCAUAAGACCCUCUAUGAGACCAAAUUUAUCGUGGAUAACCUACCAAGACAUGUACAUUGAUACAGUAAACGUACAUGAGAAAAUUAACCAGUUGAUUGAAGCACUAGCUAGCUGAUAUUGAUUUGAUUACGACAAUAAUAAGAAAUGAAGUAGAGCAAGGCAGUGAGUAGUGCAGCUUGCAUUCGAAACAAUGCUAAGAUCUGGAGUGUAGUCCUUCUCAUUAACACCCACAACAAACAUGGGAAACUCGUCACUUCUGGCGCAGAAAUGAUUACUUUCUUUGCACCAGCCUAUGUAAUGGAACAUGUAUCUAUGAGCAACAAAAUCUUCAUGAACAUGUAUACAAGCAUGUGAAAAUUUUUAACGUCAGGUGGCGUAAUGCUCUCUCCUGAUCCGAGUUAACUCCGCUGGACUCGACGACAAAUUCAGCACCACCAUCUUCCCAUGGGAUUUCAUUAGGUAAGGUAAACAAACAACUAUAAACAAGCCAAAGUGAAAUUUCAUUGUUCUUGUUAACUACCAAUUAAACACGAGUGGGAGUGUAAUUAAGAAAAUAUCACCAAAGAGAAGUGUGCUUUCAUCCUUAACCUUAAGCUCGCCAUGCUUCCACUGCCCAUGAACACUGUCGUACUUUAACAUGUAGCUCUGAGAAGAUGGGAUUAGUUAAUACAUGCAACCCCUUUGUCGAGAAUUAAGUUACCUAAUACACAAUAACACAAAUUCAACUCGAUCCACAAUAGUGGAGAAUUUGGGUGAUGCCAUUUACGAAAUUCCUCCACCGGCGAUAGACAAAAUGUUUGAUGAAAUGUUUCAAAAAGAUAAAGAUGAACACUAUAUUCACUACUAGCAAAAUGAAGUUUCACACAGAUUUAAAUCAGUGUUAAAUAUGGCUAUCUCACACAGACAUCCGUGUGAGAAAGUCAUUAGUCACGCUACACUCACGAAUUGUCUAUCCGUGCUGUUUGCAGGGGGGCUAAUGCUCAACACACACAGAUAAAAAAGUCCGUGCGAAUAGUUGACGUGGGCCCCAACAUAUAUCCACAAAACGUGAUUGCUUUAUGAGAGCUCAUUCAGUGAGAACAACUUUGUAAUUCACACAGAUAUCUGUGCGAAUUAGUAUGAUAUAUUCACACAGAUAACUGUGUAAAUAUAAUUCACUUAAAUUUGUGAGGUAACUUAUUCACGGAUAAAUGUGUCAAUUUUGUCUACUUUAAUUCACACUAUUUCCUGUGAAAUAGGGAUAGCAUUAAAAAAAUAUAUAAUUUCAAAUACUAAUUUCUUGCUCAUAUUUUUCCACUAUAUAUGUAUAUAUUUCAUUCUAUUUACAAUCAAACAUUCAAACAACACAAAUCCACAACUCCAUCCAUAACAUAACAUUUGACAUUUCCAUAAAAAUGUAUAUAGUUUACAUUCCUACCAACAUAGUUUACAUACCCUAAUUUUUACAAUUCUUGGAUUACAAAACAAGGCUGCUUUUCUAGAAUACAAUGUUGUUCAAGGUGGAAAACCACUAAGAAUUUCCCCCUAAGAACAACAUAAUCCUUGUCCAAGAAUAGAUUUCAUCAAAGCAGACAUAGAUAGAACCAUCAAAAUAGAUAAUGACAUAUUGGGGUGAACUAACCAAAUUAGCAAGGCUGCAAACGACGAACCGUUUGAGGCAUUUCGGGCCGAUACACAUCAUUGAUAUCUGGGGUUGGGAUCACAUUUCUACUGCCUUCUGGUUGUGUUGGCUCCAUUUGUGGUGCCGUCUCAAUUUGCAAAAAAUCCAGCAUCUCUCAGCAGUCUACCCAUUUCAUAUGUAGCUAGUUCGGUCACCUUCUUUACCAUAAGUAUUUCUUGCUGCCUUUUAAAGUCCUCCAUUUGUGCAAUGAGUCUUUUCUCCAUAUCAAAGUUUUUCCUUUCUUACGAUAUGUCAACUUGAAGAUUUCCAACCUAUUAGGUUGUUCCUCAACCCUAUUAUGAACUUGCUGCAAUGUAGGAUACGCAUAGAAUUAAACAUCAAUCAAUUGACACAUAAUAUACAUUAACAUGAUAACUCACCCAUUCAUAUACAACUACUGAAAAAGUCCUUGUGCCUGUACUGUGAUGCAUUACCCUUUGCGAGUGAUUACUGACAUUAAUAUCAGCCUUGGUCUGUAAAGAACAUUAAUAUCAGCCUUCACAUAUUAUUUUGGUAUGUAAAGGACACUCAUACAUUAAAUUACUCAUCAUACAUAUUAUAUUGAUGAACAUUGAAAACGUGAGAAAUGCAUCAAUACCUGAGUAUCCUCAUCAUCUAAGUGAGUAACAAAAGCUUUCCAUUGAUCACUAUCUAUGGAAGACAAAGGGCAUUGAAAACGCUCAUCAGUUCCUUUGUUGGGCACCCAAUACAAUUUUUUCAAGUCUGCCUUGUGGUGCUUCCAGCGAUCUAAGAGCUCUCAAGUGCAUAUUUCUUGAUUUUAGAUUUCUUAGCAACAGUGUCAGCCUCAGACCAAUCAAUUGUCCCCUACAAUUCCAAAUAUUAUAAUCCCUUAUUAAUUAGAUGAAUCAACCUAUCAAUAUAAUUCUAGAUUACCAGUUUACAUACCUCAAUAUGCAACCAUGCCUUUCCAAGGUCGUUAUCAACAUCAAAGUGACGCCAAUCCUUGACGUCAAUUGAGAAAUAAACGCCAUCAGUUGCCAAACUACCAAGGAAAUGGCGGUAAUGUGCACACUUAUCCCUUGGCCACACAGGUGCCCCAUACAUUCCCCACUUAACCCGUUCUCUCACUCCGCCCACUGCCCAUUUUCCAAUCGUUUUCCCUCACCCUCUUUUCUUAUUACCGCGACUAGCUUCACUACUUCUAUUUUCAGUAGGAGCUGUUGGUUGAGGCACAAAUAAACAACCAACAUCUUGAGUUUCACUGUCAUCAUAUUGGACGCUGUCAUGGAGCGAUUCCAGGCCAUCAUCAGCUAACUGAAAAUCCAUGUCAUAAUGGGACAUUCUGCAAUUAAACAAACACUGAGAUACUGUAAUAGCUGUUGUUAAGCAUCUAGGUUGAUAUUGUAAUCAUUGUCAUAGCUGCUGUUACAAUUCUAGAUUGAUAUCAUACUUGUAUAUAUUCAGAUUCUAGUUUCCCAACAACAUAUUCAAUUCGUAAUUCCAAUUUUCACCAAAGCUUAACCUCAUUCCACCAAAUCAAAAUUAAUUCGGCAUAUAACUUGGUUAGAAAUCCCUCUCAAUAAACCUGAUGGAUAUGAAAAUUAGCAUAGAAAUUCACAGCCAAUUUAUAGAUCUACAAACCCAAAUGACCGUGUACUUUACCCGUUCAGUAUGCUCAUAGAGUUAGUGAACGAAUAUCUCGUACCUUUAUCGGCUUUCGGCACAACGGUGGUGGUAGGAUCUGAGUCAGUGAUCGGACGUUCCUUUACCAGCUUCCGGCACAACGGUGGUGGUGGGAUCUGAGUCGGCGAUCGGAGCCUCUUGCAGCAGUCCUUGUUCCUUUUUUGUGUGAUUGUGGAAAGACUAAGAGUAAAUAGAGUAAAUAGAGACCCAAACGGCGUUGUGUUCUAGGCAUGUUAUUCCCUCUUUUUUUAUUGUUCUUUAAGGUAGGCACUUUAGUGUCCGUGUGGGUAUCCAGUUUUGAGCGGAAAUUUCCAGCAAAUUUGAGUAUCCAGUUUUGAGCGGCAAUACACCCCUACAUUAUUUCAUACGGAUUUUUGUGAAACUGUAGAAUAUUUCUCACGGAUAUCUGUAGGUAUAACACACCUCAGUAAAACUGAUAGUUGGUAUGUUAAAAUUUCACACUGAUGUCCGUCCUUAGGAAUUGACCUACAGAAGUCUGUGUCAAAUUUAGUUAUUCACACAGAUAUCUGUGUAAACAUUACACACGGUUAAAUGUGUAAUUAGCAUUGCAUACGGAUAUUUGUGAGAAUUAAGAUUAGUUACGCAAUACUGUAAAUAUGUGGUUUAUAUAAUUGAAAAAGAUAAAUAUUUCUAAUAUUUCAUUGUCACAGAUAUUUGUGUGACUUGUAAUACACACAGAUAACUGUGUGAACUAUUAUUAUCAUGUUUCACAUACACACUUUAUUCCGUGUCUAAUAUUUUUUCACACAAAUUUAUGUUGCAGUUAUAUUUGUAUAAAGUAAUGUGGGUCUGAAAAAGUCUAUUCCACAUAGUUAUAUGUGUCAUUGAGAGUUUGUCAUAGAUUUCUGUGAGUUUAAAGUAAUAUGUGAGAAUAGAAUCCGUGUGAGAUGUUUUUUUGCUAGUAGUGAUUCAUGUAGUUAACUGGUUGAACAUACACAUACCAUGUGAUCAGCAGUCAAGAAAGGAUCGUUUAUGGCAACGAGUUCAAUGUCGUCUCUCUGCAGAGCGACUCUGGCCACCGUCCGGCCAAUCCUUCCGAAUCCUUCAUUCACAACAUAAUCUCCACUGAAGACAAAUGAUAUGAUAAAAAUACUGAACAAACCAGUGAAGAGAGACACCAAUACCAUUGAUGCCAAUCUUGAUCUUGGCCAUGGGUAACAAUGUUUAUGCUUUGUUAAACCCAAAGAGAGUGAACCAGGGAGGACGGCAUGUGUUUGUGAUCAAGAUGGGGGAUCACUGUUAAAUUUGAGAGAUGAAUUGGUUAAAAGAAAAGGGUAUGAGAAGUAAAAAAAUACUAGAAAGAUGGGCCUUGAAAUGUACAUUUGUUUUUACAUAAAAAAAAUUUAAAAAAGUACAUUUGUUUUAUACAAUGUAAAACAAAUUGAAGCAAGUGCGACUUCAUCUGCAGUCGGGCUCUGAUCGCCAACCUCGCAUUCUUUUCUAGUUUUGAGUUCUCUGCUCGCACAUCUCACUGGCGCCAUCUUCACGCUUCUGAUCGUCGUUGCCCUCUCAGCCCCGAUUUGCAGUCUUUGGUAACCGAUUCGGUACUAGUCUCUCUCUCUCAACUGUGUGUUUAUUGCUUUGAUCUGGUUGGAUGUAGAAGUAGGGGAGAUGAUUUGACAGUGCUAGAUGGAUAUUAUAUGUGAAUACUCUGGGCUUCUAAAUCUGAUGGUACUUUGAGAUGGUGAUUUGAGGAUAUAUAUAUGGGUGCUUUGGCUCCAAUUAUAGAGGAUUUGAUAAUUUCUUUGUUGAUUCGGUCACCUCUCUCACUUGAAUCAUGAAAUUUCUCUAUGGUAUGGGUUGUUGUGCUUCAAUUCGCCAGUUUUCCAGUUUUUCUUUUCAUAUCAAGGUUUGUUUGCCGUCAACCAAAAGAAAAAGGUGACGAUGCAGUUUAUAUUUUCUUUUUGUUUGUGGACUGGUGAGUGUGGCUUGAUAAUUUGGAUUAUGGAUUGGUUCUCUAGCUCUAGUGUGAAGUACAUGUCUGAAUUUGGUGAAGUAGUUUCUGAUUACUCUGAUAUUUGGAAGUUGCUGCAUUCAAUUGAAAUUUGCCUCAGACAUUCUGCAGUAUUCUAUUCUAGUUAUAUGUGCUUCAUCUGUUAAUGGUUGCUUUAGCAUCACUCACUGAUAUCUAGAUUGAGCAUCAAUAGCUUCCGACUUGUGCUUUGGCUUAUCAAUUUCUCAUGCACCCACCUCAGUGAGCAUUAUAUUCUUCAGCAGAAUUGGUAAUAUCCUCCCAAUUUUCCCACCCUAUCAUUGGAUUUGUGGAAUUGAUUUCUGGUUUAAUUUGCUCUGUCAGUAUCAUCAGUUUGUCAUUUUCCUUUUAUAUCAAAGUUUGUGUCUGCCAUCAACCAAAGAAAAGGUGAUGAAGCAGUUUUAUAUUUUCUUUUUGGUCUGGUGAAUUGGCUUGGCAAGUUGGACUAUAAAUUGGUUGUAUGGCUCUAUGUGCUGGAUGUGUUGAGUUUGGAGGAGGUUUCCAUAUUUGAUGAGGAAUUUGAAAUUUGCUAUGGAAUUUGCUGUGCCUACUGUUUCUGGUGUGGUUACAUUGCUGCUGAUAUGGUGUUUGGAUGAAUCCCCUAGUAGAGAUGAGGUUAUGCAAAAUAGAGAUGAGGUAGAGAUGAGUUGCUGGUUAUAUAUGAGUGCAUAUGGAGUUGAUAAUUAAGGCAGAAUUCUUCUAAUGUUUGUGCAAGAAGCUUUAUAUGGUUACUGGUAGGGUGCAAGUGUUUCGGAUAUGACAAGAUUCAAGUUCUUAUGGCAACAUAUGCAGCUUUUCAGUUUUUCAGAUUACAAUUGAAGAAAAAUAAUAAAAUAUAUGCAGUUUUCAGAUUUGGAAUUUUUUUUUUCAGUUUUACAUAGUUUGCUGCUAUGCUACUGGGUUUAUUCUUUAUCAUGUUGCACUACUACCAGUGAGAUUCUUCCAGCAAGCUCUUUGUCCUGUUUUAUAUACCUGCUGCAAAUCAAGAUGGAAGCUAGUCUUAUCAUAUCAUGUAGGGUUUUUGAAUUGGAUGUUAUCUUGUAAUUGGCUAUAGCUGUGUAUUUUUCCAACCAGUAUGCUUGUUACCAAGCAUGUGUAGCACUUAUAUUAGUCUUUUGGCUUGUAAUACCUAUUGCCUAGCUGAGUUGUACUGUUCUCCUUAUCUAAGAAUUCACAAUGUAGUCCUUUACAGAUUCAACGUUUUCCUUGACUGCUUCCUUUUAUUUUCUGCAUCUGGCUUCAAUAAUCCAUGAUUUCUAGAAUCCUAUCAAGGUUUAAUUGUUGUUUUGGAUCCUGCUAAUGAUAAUUAUAGUAGGAUUUAUGUAGUCAUCCGUAAGAAGUCUAUUAAUUUUUUGUCUCAACUUCAAGCCUCAAACUCGAUCAAUGUACUUUGCAUAUUAGAGUGAAAAUUGCAAACUGAAUUAAUUGUGAAUCAAAUGUAUUCGGUACAAUUGUGGUAGGCGCCUAGGCGGGUAGAUACUGUAGUAUGAAUUAAACAGGUAGCUCAUUCAUGAUCUGGUUCUUGUUUUGUGAUUCAUGCUCAGUCCAGCGGCAUAUCCUGAUGAUCAGCUCCUUCAGUCUUUCAGAGGCACGAACAGUUCCUGCAACUGCGAAACUCUCCAUCAAGUCGCCACUCAUCACGAUUAGCUUCUCUUUCAAUUCACCAAUGGCUAGAACAAGAGCUGAGACUCCACUUUCACAUAAUGUUUUCAAGUAUUGGUAUGACUUGCUCGCAACACUAACAAAACAGAUGCUCCAGAUGAAGAGAACGAGCCAACCAAAAGGUGGAAAGAGGAUGAGCAGCUCUAAAGUGAAAGCCAGAGUUCCCAACAUGAUGAUAAUCCUAUUCAUGAAUUUACGAAAGUCUACUGUACUGUGAUCAUUUUGGAGUAUCAUGACACCUAUUGACCCAAAGUAAGCCGAUACGUCGAUAACAAACAACCUCAUCAAUAGUGUGUCUGGAGAUGAAUUUGCAAAUUUCAAUUGGAGGCAAAAGCCAAGGAUGGUGAUGAGAGAAACAAUACAUUUGUUCAAUCCCACCAUAGAUUUGCUCCUAGGUGCACCCUGCUCCAUUCUGUUAUACCAUAAGAAAAUUGAUCGAGUUAAAAAUUAUUUAUCAAAUUAGUGAAAAAUAUCGACUAUCGCUACGAAUGAGUUGCAGCUAGCUAGGAAGGUUUAUCCAUUGCCUUUGUUCCUCCUAGCUACAUGGAAUUUCCCUAUAUAUAUUCUUCAAUAUCUGAAAGAGAUACUUGAGUUUUAAUGAUGAAAAAUCAAUUGAGCAUGUUGAUUAUGCGCAGUAAGAAGGUAAUAUUGGAUUUAAUUUCACCAACUUCAGACUACAAUUUGAAGGAAACCCAAUUAAAUGGAGAACAUAAUGUAUUUCCCCUCGGUAAUAUGCUAGAGUUCCUCAGUAUAAUUGAGCAAGAAGCAUGAAAUGGAGACGACAACGACGGAGACUGAACAGAAAUAGGUAGCUAGGAGUUGCGACAGCAUGCAGUAGCUCUACAUUUCUAUCAACAGGUCUAAAGCAUGAAGAUAUUAAUAUUAACGGAAACCAUGAAGAUCAUAAGCAAGGGAAAGAAUAUAUAAGCUAAGACUACUAAAGCAUGCAAAAUAUAUUGUAUCUAGUAAGAUGACUAACACUGGCAAGUGAACAGAAUUCCGCAGCUUCUCGAUCUCUGUGGAGCUCAAACCUUCCUCCCUCUCGCUUCUUACUUCCUUGGGAUAUGUAAGAACUCCCUUGGGAUAUAUAAGAAAUGAAGUUAUAAGUUGCAGGGGUAUAAUAGUUGCAGCUUCUUACUUAAUAGUUGCAGCGCUUCUUUCCCUGAGGGGUGAUUAUAAAGGGUGAUUUCUUCCCACCAAUGUUUGAGAGUCGUAUAAGUUUGAGAGUAGUUUAUGAAUGUGCAGCAGUCCCGUUCGCCUGGACCAUAACCGUCAGAUCAAGCCGUCAGAUCAAGCCUCAUUUAAAUCCUAGGGUGGAGAUAUAAUCAGCAAUAGGGCUGUGUUUUUGGAUUUCUUAAUGCAUUUUGGACCUUGGCUUGAUCUGACGGUUAUACGACUCUCAAACUACUCUCAAACUUAUACGACUCUCAAGGAUACCAUCUUAACCCACCAUGCUUAUGUCUCCCAGGAAGAGCUCAAGCAUACCAUCUUAACCCACCAUGUUUGAGGGUCCCACAACGACUUCUCAAGGAUGCCAUCUGCCCCCCCCCCCCCCCCCCCCCGUCUUAACCCACCAUGUUUGAGGGUCCCACAACGACUUCUCAAGGAUACCAGCGGAUGUCGAUAUUUUUCACUAAUUUGGAUCAAAUGAGUUGCAUUCAUACUGUUUUGGAUCAAAUGAGUUGCAUUCAUACUGAAGAAGUUACAAGCGGUAUGAAUAAUACAAAACAGAAUCACUAAUGAACCAUUUAUAACAAACAUCGGACCAAAGGGCCCGACCCUAACUUCCUACUGGAGUUAAAUCUCUUGUACACCAUGAGGCUAGGAAAAUGAUCAUCAAGACCAGAUGACUCAACUGACAUAUUGCCAAUGAAGUUGGUAACGAAGCAUCGAAAUUCUGACAAGGCAGUGACUUCUAACGGUGAGGUACGAACUUGUUAACGGCAACAAACUUGAGGUAGUUAAAUGAAAGAAUUUGAUAGUUGGGUAUCAAAUUGAAGAUAGCCCUAUAGUUCGGGUGUGGUUUUUGUAAAUAAUUUAUUUUCCUAAGUCAUAACUCUGCCAUAGUGUCAUUUUCCAAACUCUGCCAUAGUGUCAUUUUCCAAACUCUGCCUUAGUGUCAUUUUCAAAGAAAUGAACCAAAUGAGUCAUAUAUAUACUCAUGAUUAUACGAACCAGGUGAUUACAAAAAACACAAGUACUCAUAAACCUUGCACAAUGUUUUGAAGGGGCCAGAACUGUUGGAUAUGUGGAAUUCCUCUCCCAACUGGUUAUUUGUAUUCAUAAAGCUCUUCUAGUGAGGACCCUUGAGGAUUUUUCGGCUUAUCCCACCUUUCGAGCUUAUAUCCACAUCUUGAUUGUUCAGUUUAUAGGUAUUUAUGAGUAGAUCAUUUCAUCAAAUUUUCAGCUAUGUUGAAAAUUGUUAAGACAUUCAUAAGUGUGAUUUAUCAAUUAUGAACUUAAACGGUUCAUAUUUGACAGAUUUGGUUCGUCCAUUAAUUUGAUCUAAUUUGUUAUCUGAACGGAUGAGAUGUCAAAAUGUGAUCGAAAAUUAGGUCUUUUAAACUAUAAACCGAAAAGUCUUCACCAAGUCCUCAACUUAAGGGUCCUUACUAGAAGGGCUCCCAUUUGUAUUCAUCAUUCAUCAGUCUCUCUAUACUAUUCAUCUGCUUUUCUUUUCUUCUUUUUUUUGGAGGUGAAGAACAAUCUUAACACAAAUCAAAGCAAAACCAAAAUCUCUCGUGUUUGCUCAUUCAAUUUUGGAUUAACAAUAGAAGAUUGGUACUGAAGGCCUCCCAAACAAAAUAUGUAACACUCAAGAGUCAGCAGAACUAUUCCAAUAAAAAAAUCUGUAGCCAUGGUUGAAACCUAGCUAGCUGCAUGCAAUGGUGAUUUAGGAACUGACAUUGCUUAUGCAACUGUGGCCAUGUGACAGAUCAAGUCGAUAACUCGUGAGCUGCAAUACACCGUGUUCAUCAGAAAACUGUGAUGUCAAAAGAAAUUUACAAUAUGCUUAUGUAGAAAUUGUGGUAUUACCUGUUACCCCACUCAUUGUCAUACCAAGCGACAAGCUUCACAAAGUUGUCAUUCAAAGCAAUUCCAGCCUUGGCAUUGAAAAUGCUCGACCUGCAGCAUAACAUGUAUGCACUCCCUCAGAGCCUCAAUCAAUUAACUGAAGUAAAGAAUAGGGCAGUUACCUAACCAAGUGCUGCAGGUUUUAUAGAGGCAACAGGUCAGAGUCAGCAAUAUUCUGGCAUUCUCACCUGUAAGUGGUUACUCACAAAGUCAGUGGACACCAAAUCAUCGUCUAUGUAUCCUAGGAUUCCCUUUAGGUUACCCUCAGAUUCUUCCCUGAAUUUCACAAUUGAAGGAAACUCAGAUGAUUGAGGAGAUAGAGGUGAGCAUGCCUUGAAAGACAAGCAAGUUACAUCAUCAAACAGAAAAAUAGGCAUAGAGAUGCACCAAAAUAUGAAACCAAGCAACUCUUUAGUAGUUUAGUGUGUUUCAAAUUCUAUAAGAAACCAAAGUGGAUGGCCUGAUCCUUACUUGAUAGCACUUUUAAUCUCAUCAUAUGUAGCCUUCUUGUCAAGUCUUACUGUGAGGUCAACCACGGACACAUCAACAGUGGGAACCCUGAAGGCCGUUCCUGUCAACUUCCCAUUUAGCGCAGGCAUCACUUUACCAACACCGUAUAAAUCAAACCAAAACUAGUUCUGAAAAUUUCCCAAAUCUUUUAGACAGCAUUAGAGAAUCAAACGAACUCUGAAGACAUACGUUACAUCUACCAACACAAGGUGUUAGGGGUCCAAUAUAAUACCUCGGCAGCUCCAGUACUAGUCGGAAUGAUGUUACGGCCAGCAGCUCUACUACCUCUCCAGUCUUUCAUUAGUGGACUAUCAACAGUCCUUUGAGUAGCUACAUCACAUAUCAAAAGAACCUUCAACCAAUGAUUCAUUACAGUCUAGCUUGCUUAGAAUCAAAUGAGCAUACUAUACAUUCUCACCAGUAACUGAAUGGACAGUGGUCAUAAGAAAAUUAAUCGUGGAUAACCUACCAAGACAUGUUCAUUGAUACAGUUAACGUACAUGAGAAAAUUAACCAGUUGAUUGAAGUACUAGCUAGCUGAUAUUGAUUUGAUUAGGACAAUAAUAAGAAAUGAAACCUUUGCCAGUGGAGCAAGACAGUGAGUAGUGCAGCUUGCAUUCGAAACAAUGUUAAGAUCUGGAGUGUAGUCCUUCUCAUUAACACCCACAACAAACAUGGGAAACUCGUCACUUGGCGCAGAAAUGAUUACUUCUUUGCACCAGCCUAUGUAAUCGAACAUUGUAUAUAUGAGCAACAAAAUCUUCAUGAACAUGUAUACAAGCAUGUGAAAAAAAUUUACCGUCAGGUGGCGUGAUGCUCUCUCCUGAUCUGAGUUAACUCCGCUGGACUCGACGACAAAUUCAGCACCACCAUCUUCCCAUGGGAUUUCAUUAGGUAAUUAAGGUAAACAAACAACUAUAAACAAGCCAAAGUGAAAUUUCAUUGUUCUUGUUAACUACAAGAGUGGGAGUGUAGCUGGCGUAUAAAUAUUAAUUAAGAAAAUAUACCUAGAAUCAUAAACCUUGACAGCCUUAUCACCAAAGAGAAGUGUGCUUUCAUCCUUAACCUUAAGCUCGCCAUGCUUCCACUGCCCAUGAACACUGUCUUACUUAAACAUGUAGCUCUGAGAAGAUGGGAUUAGUUAAUACAUGCAAACCCUUUGUCGAGAAUUAAGUUACCUAAUACACAAUAACACAAGUUCAACUCGAUCCACAAUAGUGGAGAAUUUGGGUGAUGCCAUGUAGGAAAUUCCUCCAUCGGCGAAAGACAAAAUGUUUGAUGAAAUGUCUCAAAAAGUUAAAGACGGACACUAUAUUCAUGUAGUUAACUGGUUUUACAUACACAUACCAUGUGAUCAGCAGUCAAGAAAGGAUAGUUUAUGGCAACGAGUUCAAUGUCGUCUCUCUGCAGAGCAACUCUGGCCACCGUCCGGCCAAUCCUUCCGAAUCCUUCAUUCACAACAUAUAAUCUCCAUUCAACACAAAUGAUAUGAUACAAAUACUGAACAAACCAGUGUAGAGAGACACCAAUACCAUUGAUGCCAAUCUUGAUCUUGGCCAUGGGUAACAAUGUAUAUGCUUGUCAAACCCAAAGAGAGUGAACCAGGGAGGACGGCAUGUGUUUGUGAUCAAGAUGGGGGAUCACUGUUAAAUUUGAGAGAUGAAUUGGUUAAAAGAAAAGGGUAUGAGAAGUAAAAAAAANNNNNNNNNNNNNNNNNNNNNNNNNNNNNNNNNNNNNNNNNNNNNNNNNNNNNNNNNNNNNNNNNNNNNNNNNNNNNNNNNNNNNNNNNNNNNNNNNNNNNNNNNNNNNNNNNNNNNNNNNNNNNNNNNNNNNNNNNNNNNNNNNNNNNNNNNNNNNNNNNNNNNNNNNNNNNNNNNNNNNNNNNNNNNNNNNNNNNNNNNNNNNNNNNNNNNNNNNNNNNNNNNNNNNNNNNNNNNNNNNNNNNNNNNNNNNNNNNNNNNNNNNNNNNNNNNNNNNNNNNNNNNNNNAAUUUAAUUAUUAGAACAACAAAGUAAUCGGAGAAUAAGAAACAAAGGUAGAGUUGGCCUAGUGGUUAGGUCACUCAUCACUCGCACUUUUUUUUAUCACAUGGGUUGCAUUCAUACGGAAGAAGUUACAAACGGUAUGAAUAAUACAAAACAGAGCCACUAAUAGACCACUUAAUAGACUACUUAUAACAAAUAUCGGACCAAAGGGCCCGACCCUAAUUUCCUACUAGAGCUAAAUCUCUUGUACACCAUGAGGCUAGGAAAAUGGUCAUCAAGACCAGAUGACUUAACCGACAUAUUGCCAACGAAGUUGGUAACGAAGCAUCGGAAUUCCAACAAGGCAGUGGCUUCUAUCGCUUGAAGAAAUAAGAACAUGAGUCAAUUCCGCCUCCUGAGUAGUGAAUACUCGUGAUAAAGAACUGGUGAAAACCAUCAUUACUCAUUAGCUGUGUUUGUAAUGAGCCAAUCAAGCAGAACGACCACAAAGGAUCAAAAGAGCUAAACACACAAACAAAACAAAAGAUAAAAACAGUACACACAUAAACAUAAUGAACUGCAGCAGCCCAGCCUUGACCACCGAGCCCAAAUCUCAACAUAGGCCCAGAUAUCUGUAGCCUACCCAAAACUAGACUUAGUCCAUGGCCUAGAUUCGCUUCACCUGCCUGCUUCUGUCGAACCACCACUCCUUCAUCAACACCUUCGCCAGCUUGCCCCAAGCUAUAUAUAGAUCGAGCUUCCCACACUAGCCUGCACAACUCAGAUCGACGGGCCGGGGCCGCCACCAUCAGAUUCGCGGCCAAAGCUUCCAAACUCGGUUGCACUUCCCUGAGAUAACUCGCCGUAACCCAACCAGAGACCCGAUAUGACCUCAAAUCAUCUAUCGAUCUCUAAUGCUUCCAUGAGAAACUCAGACAGACCUGAUCCGAACAGAAGGAAACCGGAUCAGGUACUAUGGACGUGUUAUGAUUGUAGUCUUUCCAAUUGGUCAAGUAGGAAUUAUAAGUACCAAUUAUAAGUACCAAGUCAGGUGCUACAAGUAGUUUUGGAAGCAGAAGUAGCAGGAUGGAGGGUGGCAAUGCAGUGAGAUCAAGUGGAACAAACGCCAGUAGCAAGGUGCUGUCAGAUUCAGAAUACGCAGCAAGGAGGGCAAGGAACCAGUGUUAUUUUUGUGAGGAGACUUACACUAGAGGUCAUAAUUGCAGGAAGAAGGGUCAGUUGAUGAUCAUGGAAAUUGUACCCGAUGAGGAGGUAAGUAAUGAAACUGAUGACCCAGCAAGAGAUGGGGCAGGCAAGGAGUUAGUGGAGGUUCCACCAAUUGUGGACACUGAGGAACCAUUGAUUAGAUUGCAAGUUCUGUCUGGGGGUAGCUCAACAACAAUGCAGUUAAAGGGAUGGUUUAAUAAGAAGUCGGUGCAUGUAUUGAUUGACUCUGGUAGCAACACAUAAUUUCAUACAUCCUCAGUUGCUGAAAGGAGCAAAAGUGCAAGUGCAUGAGCUAGCACCAUUGAAUGUUUUGUUAGCUAGUGGAGCGAAAAUGCAAACUCAUGGAGAAGCACAGCUACAGCUGCAGCUGCAAGGUUAUAAGUUUGAUGCAGAUUAUUAUGUGUUACCAGUGACAGGUUGUGAGGUUGUGCUAGGUACCAGUUGUGCUAGGUGAUAUAACAUGGAAUUUUGAGGUCAUGAGGAUGCGGUUUACAAUACAGGAGUGUGAACAUCAGUUGCAAGGAGAGACAAAACCUGAGGCCACAGUCAUUUCUUGUAAAUCCAUGACCAGGUUGUUAAGGAAGGAAAGAGAAGCAAUGCUAGUUCAAGUAGCACCAGCAAUGUCUAACCAAAAAGUGAAUCCCUACCCUGAGCAGUUGCAACCAGUGAUCACUAAAUAUACAGAAUUAUUUCUACCACCUACUGCAUUACCACCUGUCAGAGAUCAUGAUCAUAGGAUUGAGUUGCUCCCAAACACCACACCAAUUAGUGUCAGACCAUAUAGAUACCCACACUUUCAGAAGGCAGAGAUAGAGAAAAUAGUGCAGGAACUUUUGGAAAAUGGAGUGAUUAAACCAAGUGUGAGUCCCUACUCAUCACCGGUAUUGCUUGUGAAGAAAAAAGAUGGGACUUGGCGAAUGUGCANNNNNNNNNNNNNNNNNNNNNNNNNNNNNNNNNNNNNNNNNNNNNNNNNNNNNNNNNNNNNNNNNNNNNNNNNNNNNNNNNNNNNNNNNNNNNNNNNNNNNNNNNNNNNNNNNNNNNNNNNNNNNNNNNNNNNNNNNNNNNNNNNNNNNNNNNNNNNNNNNNNNNNNNNNNNNNNNNNNNNNNNNNNNNNNNNNNNNNNNNNNNNNNNNNNNNNNNNNNNNNNNNNNNNNNNNNNNNNNNNNNNNNNNUUUGCUGGGAAAUCAUUUCAGAAUUCUGACUGAUCACAGAACUAUACAAUAUUUCCUUGAGCAGAAGAUUACAACCCCUACACAACAGAAGUGGUUAUUGAAGCUUGUUGGCUAUGAUUACACCAUUCAAUAUAAACCAGGAAAGAAUAAUGCAGCCUCUGAUGCACUAUCAAGGAGAGAAGAACUCACACGUGACCUGGAACCUAUUUCUAAGUACAGUACCCUUUCAACAAUGACUGGAGUGUCAUCACCAGUUCAUGACUAUGUGCUGGAAAUUCAGAAGGCAUGUGAGAGGGAUGCUGAAACUCUUUCAAUCUUACAACAGCUAAGGGAAGGUACAAAUCCUCCAAGGUCUUUUACUCAACUUCACUCUCAGUUAUUAUAUAAGGGCAGGAUCUUUGUGCCACAGUUGGAUAAUUGGAGACAAAAGGUUAUUGUUGAGUUUCAUGAAGGGUAUAAUGAGGGGCAUGCUGGUGUUGCAAGAACCCAUAAGAGAAUGUUCAGGUCUUUUGCUUGGCCUGGUAUGAAAGGAGAUAUUAAGUCUGUGGUUUCUACUUGUCACAUUUGUCAGCAGAAUCACUAUGAGACAGUCAAUCCUCCAGGGUUGUUGCAACCAAAUGUGAUACCGGACAAAGCUUGGACUCAAAUCUCUAUGGAUUUCAUUGAAGGCCUUCCAAAGUCAGCUGGAAAAACAGUACUCUUGGUGGUGGUUGAUAGAUUGACCAAGUAUGGUCACUUUAUACCAAUGUCACACCCUUAUACAGCUUCUACUGUGGCUCAACACUUUGUGAAGGAAGUUUUUUCGACUACAUGGAAUGCCAGAAUCUAUCAUAUCUGAUAGGGAUCCAAUCUUUCUCAGCAAAUUUUGGGAAGCAUUCUUCACCUUACAGGGAACUACUUUAAACAAAAGCUCCUCUUACCACCCACAAAGUGAUGGCCAAACUGAGAACCUGAAUAGGACAGUGGAGCAGUACCUCAGGUGUGUGGUUGGAGAAAGACCAAGUUCUUGGGUUGAAGCCAUACCAUGGGCUGAGUACUGGUACAACUCAGCUCAUCAUUCAGCCAUUGGCAUGACUCCAUUUAAAGCUCUAUAUGGAUAUGAAGCUCCAGCUGUGAAAGCUUAUGAGGUGGGUGGGACUGCAGUGGCAUCAGUGGAUGCUCAAUUACAAUUAAGAGAUGAGUUAUUGGCUAGUCUGAAGAGAAAUUUGCAAGUGGCUCAAUGCAGAAUGAAAAAUUUCUAUGACAAGCAUCACUCAGAGAGAAGUUUUGAAGUGGGAGAUUGGGUUUAUCUCAAACUACAACCUUAUCGGCAGCAGUCAGUGCAAAAGCGAUCCAGCCACAAACUAGCUCCAAGGUAUUGUGGCCCUUAUCUCAUUAUACAGAAGAUCGGAUAUGUUGCUUAUAAGCUGAAAUUGCCUGAUUCAUCAAAGGUUCAUCCAGUGUUCCAUGUGUCACUGCUAAAGAAGAAAAUGGGAGACUUUGUGGUGGUUGCUACACACUUGCCUCCUGACCUUGAUCCACAUAACCCUAGAUGGUACCCAGCAAAAGUUUUGGAAAGAGGGGUUUUCAGGAAGAACAAUGCACCAGUAACUAAAUGGUUGAUUAAAUGGCUUGGUGCUGCUGAGGAGGAGGCCACGUGGGAGGAAGCAGAUGACAUUCAACGCAGGUUCCCAGAUUUCACUGAUAAGUGAGCUUGAGGACAAGCUGUUUUUUGGGAGGGAUGAAUUGUUAUGAUUGUAGUCUUUCCUUGUCUAGUUUAACUAGGAGAAGUGUAGUUGGUCAGUGGUUGGUCCUCAGGUGCUAUGCACGUGAGACAGUUUAGUGUCUGUUUAGUUUAAUUAAGUCUAAUUAGCCGUUAAGUAUGGAUUAGAGUUGCAUUAGUAAUGGACCAUCAGUUGUGUGACACGUGGGCCUGUUCAUGUGUUGUUUAUCUGGGUAUAAAGACCCCCAACUGUACUCAGUUUGGUAGAGAAUGAAAAUCUGAAGUUUAUUUCCUUUUCUUUUCUUUCAAUUUGUUCUCAGUUUCUUCAGUUAGGGCUAAUACCUUAACAGGACGCCGGAACAACCACAAAAAUCCCAUGCUAGAACGAAUCUGAACCCUUCCCCUACCACCUCAGUUGGAUCUGCAACUUCCAAUCCCACCUCUUCCUUCCUUCCAACUCGCCCACCAACAUAGACAAAAAUAGGAGAAGAAGACGAGCAAAAAUGGCGCGCACUCCAGCUAAACGUUUCCUCUCCCAGGCUAAGACAUUAUGGCGAGGCCGCCUACAAUGUUUAGCUAGGAGAGAGAGGUUUUCUUUCUUAAUAGGGUUUUUUCCUUAGGCGCGUUCUAUUUUCUAAUGCCGCGUGUAUGUCGAUUGUCCUCAUCACUCACACUUGAGUUCACAGUUUCGAUCCCCCUUGUUGUUACAUCUACCAAUACAAGGUUUUAGGGGUCUAAUAUAAUACCUCGGCAGCUCCAGUACUAGUCGGAAUGAUGUUACGGCCAGCAGCUCUACUACCACUCCAGUCUUUCAUUAGUGGACUAUCAACAGUCAUUUGAGUAGCUACAUCACAUAUCAAAAGAACCUUCAACCAAUUAAUGAUUCAUUACAGUCUAGCUUGCUUAGAAUCAAAUGAGCAUACUAUACAUUCUCACCAGUAACUGAAUGGACUGCGGUCAUAAGACCCUCUACGAUACCAAAUUUAUCGUGGAUAACCUAUCAAGACAUGUAUAUUGAUACAGUAAACAUGAGAAAAUUAACCAGUUGAUUGAAGUACUAGCUAGCUGAUAUUGAUUUGAUUAGGACAAUAAUAAGAAAUGAAACCUUUGCCAGUGGAGCAAGACAGUGAGUAGUGCAGCUUGCAUUCGAAUCAAUGUUAAGAUCUGGAGUGUAGUCCUUCUCAUUAACACCCAUAACAGACAUGGGAAACUCGUCACUUGGAGCAGAAAUAAUUACUUUCUUUGCACCAGCCUAUGUAAUGGAACAUUGUACAUAUCAGCAACAAAAUCUUCAUGAACAUGUAUACAAGCAUGUGAAAUUUUUUUACCGUCAGGUGGCGUGAUGCUCUCUCCUGAUCUGAGUUACUCCACUGGACUCGACGACAAAUUCAACACCACCAUCUUCCCAUGGGAUUUCAUUAGGUAAGGUAAACAAACAACUAUAAACAAGCCAAAGUGAAUUUCAUUGUUCUUGUUAACUACCAAGUAAACACAAGAGUGGGAGUGUAAUUAAGAAAAUAUACCUAGAAUCAUAAACCUUAACGGCCUUUUCACCAAAAAGAAGUGUGCUUUCAUCCUUAACCUUAAGCUCGCCAUGCUUCCACUGCCCAUGAACACUGUCGUACUUAAAUAUGUAGCUCUGAGAAGAUGGGAUUAGUUAAUACAUGCAACCCCUUUGUGGAGAAUUAAGUUACCUAAUACACAAUAACACAAAUUCAACUCGAUCCACAAUAGUGGAGAAUUUGGGUGAAGCCCGGCGAAAGGUAAAAUGUUUAAUGAAAUGUCUCAAAAAAGUUAAAGACGGACACUAUAUUCAUGUAGUUAACUGGUUUUACAUAACCACGUGAUCAGCAGUCAAGAAAGGAUCGUUUAUGGCAACGAGUUCAAUGUCGUCUCUCUGCAGAGCAACUCUGGCCACGAUGCGGCCAAUCCUUCCGAAUCCUUCAUUCACAACAUAAUCUCCAUUCAAGACAAAUGAUAUGAUACAAAUACUGAACAAACCAGUGAAGAGAGACACCAAUACCAUUGAUGCCAAUCUUGAUCUUGGCCAUGGGUAACAAUGUUUAUGCUUUGUUAAACCCAAAGAGAGUGAACCAGGGAGGACGGCAUGUGUUUGUGAUGAAGAUGGGGGAUCACUGUUAAAUUUGAGAGAUGAAUUGGUUAAAAGAAGGAUUAAAUUCAGUUUGCCCCUUCGUACUUUAGGUCAAUAAUUAGUUUGGUCUCAUAUCUUUUUUUUUUUUUUAAUAACGUUGGUCCUUGAAGUUCUAUUUCACAUCAGUUUAGUCCAAUUUUUGAAUUGCCCUCCUUACCAUGACGUCAUACUCUGAGUUGUCCGCGACACAAAAGUCCAGUUUCUAACUUAAAAGGGUAAAAUAGUCAUUUUAUGAUAUACUAAAAUGAAAAUAACAACAUACAGUUCAUCAUCAAUCCUUCAACUCCCUCCGUUUCUGGAAUUUAAGCAAUAACUUAACUCUGUUCCAAUGCUACUGCCAAGCUCAACCAAACCCAGAAAAUCCUAACUCCUCCAUUCUUAAUUAAACCACCCUGCGCAAUAAUUGAACACUACCAAUAUCCCAAAACUCCAACUUCUUCAAUCUCAUCCCAAAAUCAAAACUGAUUAUCUCAUACAAAUUCAGUAUACUAACAAAGCCGGAAACCAAUUCCUUCAACCCCCACCGCCGCCGUGAACAACGUCACUCACGGCGGUCCUCCUCUACCUAAAACCUAAAUUCUCCCAAACAUCACCAAACUCAAUUCCAAUUAUAUACAGAGGUAGAGCUCGAAGAGAAGAUCAAGGUUCAUACCUCAAUUGCCUUCGACAGUGGCCGAAAAACACAUAAACUUGCCGGAAAACUGCUUGAGCUUCAAUUAAUCGAUUCUCAGUCAUGAAGGCUCCUCUGAAGAAAUCGAGACCACAUACAGAACGGGGAUGGCGAGACUAAGCUAUCCACACCAGUCACGCUCACCGCCGUGACCGGAAUCGGAAACCCGAUCGGAGAGGCAGUCACCUUCUCUCCUC
rnacentral:lncRNA from 1 species